rnacentral:lncRNA from 1 species
AAAUAGAAAAACUUAGAAGACAGACUACAUUUUCUCUAAAAUAUGUUUUUUUUAGAAAAUUGUUAGGUAUCUUCUUUAACGAGUGAGUGAGCAUUUUCUCCCGCCAGGAAAAAGUAAUAAUAGUGUGUAUGUAAGUAUAAAGAAAGAUCUGAUUAAAGAUUUUUCUUAUGUUGUAAUAAGUUCAUGGAAUAAAAAUUUGUUUUAUAUACCUUGUCAAUCUUUUAUACUGGUAAAAAUGAUGGUUGCGAUCAUCGGCCUAAACGGAGGAAGAACGGAACAGUAGCCAAAACUGUAGGACCAAGAAGGCUAAAGGGGUUCUUCAUAGCCGGAAGGAGAAACACUGCGGUGUUGAUACGACCAACGUAAAGGAAAGACGAAAGGUACAUGAAUAUACUCUAUAGUCUCAUGAACUUAUUAGCAUACGAAAAAUUAGUUUUCAUAUCUACCUUAUACAUUCAUACAUAUUGUAUUAUGUAGUAUCUAUAGGGAAUUUUAAAAUCAUGAAUAGUGUAUACUUUUUAAUAUGAAGGUUAUACAACCAGUAUUAAAGGAAUAUCGAAAUUAGUUUUGGGAAACCAAAAUAAAAAUCAGGUUUUACAAUCAUAAUAUAAAAAUUUUAAAAAAUUAUUUUAAUAAGUUAUAUAGAUUAAAAAAUUAUUUAAAUAAUUCUAAAAUCAACAGGGUUAGAGUCCUCAUAAAUGUCUCUCUAAAUGAAAAUCAUAAUCUAAAAUUAAUAUGGAUAUCUAGAUUACAAAAGUAUAAAAAUAAAUUAAAACAAAUGACUCUCUAUACAGCAUAAUGAGUUAUUAUACUUGUUUUCUAGAUGAAAAAACUUUAAUCGCUAUUUUAAAAGUGAUAAAUUUAAACAAAAAUCUACAGGAGAAAAUCCUUAAUAAGAUUAUAGAACCGCUUGUUCAAGAACAAUGAUAUAUCCAUAAUUAUUCUCAUAUAGAUUCAGAUGAAGAUGACUAUUGGCCAUAUUCUGAUGAUAAUGAUUAUUGGCCCUAUGAAUAUGAUGAUGGCUAUCAUACUGACUGAUUGUUGUCAAAUUAUUUCGCACAUUUACCCUGUUUGCGAUCAGCAUCAAUAUAUUUAAAUUUGGACUUUUAAAUUGUAAUAUUUAUCCAUUAAUUACUAAUUAAAUGAUCCAAAACCCAAUCUAAACUUAAAACCUAAACUUUUCACUCUUCACCUCACUUUUUAGUUUCAAGAGAGUUUUCUGCUCUCAUUUUUUCAUAAUUAUGAUUUUUCAUUAGCACAUGAGUAAAAACAUAUUUGAUCUAAUCUUCGAUCACAAUAUAAUUGUAAAAACUAAAGAUUAUAAAAAAACGAAAAAAAACAAAAAACCCGAAAAAAACAACUAAAACCUAAACCGAAAAAAUCAAUUUUAUGUUGGUUUGAUUUGGUUUAUAGUUUUAAUAAACCGACAUAAUUGGUUUGAUUUUUUUUUAAUAAAAAACGAACUAACCCGACCUAUGUACACCCCUACAAACAAGUAUGACCUUAUUCAACGUGUAGUUCAUACUGAGUCUACAAAUUGAUUCAAAAUGAGGAAUCAAAAUGUAUCAAAGGAAUAACAAAUUCAUCCAGUAGGAACCAAAAGUACAAUGCUUAUCAACCAAGAACACUGCAUAAAGACAUUAUAAAGAAGCCAAAAAAAAAAAAAAAUAGGCAAUGCAGCAUUUCAUCAAACAGCAUAGCAAAGCUUCAAGUACUAAUGACUGUUUACAAUUCCCAUCACAUUCUAAGCAUCUUGUUUACAAUUCUUACCAAUUACAUGUCUCAAAGACAAACCAGAACUCAUCUUUGGAAUGUCUACCCACAGUGAUCUGCAUAAAUACACACCCAAAAGCUCCCAAGAAAUCAGCAGAAGGACACUAGAAGGUGGUGUGAACUAAGAAACCAUCUAAUCCAAAUCUGAUGAAGAGGGUGAUUCCGAGUAGAUUGAUUCUUCAUCACAGUCAUCUCCUGUACUAUCAAUAUCUGAAGAUACAGCGAGGCUGUCCUCAUGUUCAUCGAUCCAAGGGGUACGAAAGUCUACUAGCUUUUUACAUCUUUCCUCAAGAUUACCCUUCAGUUCCACAUUCCAACAUGCUUGGAUUUCAAGGUGCGUUAGUGCCUUACACUCUGUGAGAAUAGCAUCAACGCCAGUGUCGCUCAACCGGUUGAAAGCGAAGUCAAGGCGCUGGAGACCUCUCAUAGUUUCUGCUAUAAUCAGUGCCUCCUGAUCGUGGACAUCGGAAUCUUCUAAAGUGGUUGGCAGCUCCCACAUAGGCAUGUUUCUUCUGAGAUGAGUCAACGACUUGCAUUGUUUUCCAAAAGCUUUCAGACCCUUCGCUGUGAUCUUUAAACAGUAGCUGACGUCUAAGAAUGUUAAAUUGACCAAGGACCCUGCAUGCUUUUCCACUACCUCGUCAGUGACUUCACUCAUAGGGAUUUGCAGUAUCUUGAGACAUUUUCCACUGCAAAAAAUAUUGGUAUACUCUAUAAACUAAGAUCAUUAUAAUGACACCCUUGCAUCAAUCUAAGAUAAAGAACCACGAGUCUUGCAUAACUAGUCUGUAGGCUAUACAUGACCUGAGUGAAGUACAGGUAAUGUUGGGUAGAACUUCUUGCAAGCCCAAAAUUGACUAAAUAAUACGUAUCAUACAAUUGGAUGUCUUAUAGUUAUUCUAACCUAUGCAGAACUUCACAAGAGAAUUUAUUAGCAUAACUGAAUUAUAGAUUAGACAGUUCUGAGCUAUUAUGUGUCAUUUCCUUUCUCCUUAAAAGUGAAACUGGAAAAGAAAAGCACAACAGUUCAUAUAGAAGACAUGUAUUAGUGGAAUAAGCCAAGGGCACAGCCGAACAAGCUAAUUCAUCACAAUGAAGUUUUAUUUUACUGAAACUAGUAGCUUAUGUGCAAGUUUUUUGAUAUGAUCAAGAUUUAAAUUGUCAAGGCAUCAACUAACGGAGUGCAAUUCAAAAAUGAGAGAUUUAAAUUGUCAAGGCAUCAACUAACGGAGUGCAAUUCAAAAAUGAGGGUCAGUUGAUGAAACUCUGGAUGGCUAAUCAUCAUUGGUCGUUUUCUUUAAGUUUUCACAUUUUGGCCAAAUGCCCCUUAACUUUUCUGGUUAGCACCUCAAUUAGGGCUGGUACCUAUUGAACACUCCAAGCUAAUAAAUUAAAGUGUACCUAUUAAACUCCUCAUGACUAACCACUCAAAGAGAUACAAAGCGUGAACUACAUGCACGGUGACAUGGAAAAAUUGACAAAUAAGAAAAAGCCAUGUAGCUUGUCUGUCCAACUAAUCAAAGAAAUGGCUUCCAUACAAAAAGAGGAAACCUAUUCCAAGACCUCAAACUUAUUCCAACUCCCGCCGAAAAGGGGAAAAGGGAAUACAAAGAAGUUUUAACUUAAGAGGGAAGAAAUUAUAGAAUGUCUUAUCGAAUUCCAAGCUCAAUAGAUUAAAAAAGGCAAUUGACAAAUUCUGUUCGUGAAGAUAUAUUAUUACAGCUUUUUGUACUCCACAUGCUGAAUUGAGUGACGAACUACGGCAAAAUAUGGUUUACAGCUCAUAAGGAAAGAUGGACUGCAUGAGGUUUUAUAUGCCAUUUUCAGAUGACCAAAGUUUAGCAAGAAAUUGAUAUUGUAUUUUCAAAUAGGAUUAGGAGCAGAAUUGAUUGUAUAUUUGUUGCUCUAGUCCUCUGGACCUAAAUGAUGGUGGGCUGGCAGCAUAGAAGGUUAAGGGGAAAGAGGAAGAAAGAAAAGAAAUUUGAAAAAGAAAAAGUCAUAUUUAAGUGAUUCACGAGCUCAUCACCAGUGAAAACCACUUUUUAUGCCAUGUAAGAUUUUGUGUUUAACAGGUACACUUUUUAUCAAGUUCAAGUAUUGAAUAAGUAGCAGUCGUUAAGGUAUUAAAAUGAAAAUUAGAGUAAAGUUUAAGUAUCGGUCCUAGUUUUGAUGCUAUCAUUAUGAGUUAAGUUAACCAUCAAAUGUUCCCACCUAUUGGGAAAGAGAUAGAAUCACUGGUUGAAGCUGUUGCUCAUCACAGAGAACAUAACCAAUGCAUUUUAGUUUGAGCAAUCAUGUUCGACAUCACCGAAGGUAUUGUUUGAUAUUUUGAACAUGACGCUUCUUGUAAGUGUCAAACCUGAUAUUUAGCUGUCUAUGCGGGUCACAAAUGUACCCCUAUAUGUUCCUCGCAAGUGUGCCACAUGAUAUAAGAAGUAGGAAAUUCCUCACAUUGAUGAAUGAGGUCAUCUAUAACAGAACUUACAAUAAUCCCAUGUGUUGCAGGCUUCAAGAUCUCUUCCGUGUUGUGUAGUGUUACCUUCUUCUAGCUAACUUAAAACAUGAUUUAGACCUUUCAGAGCGUUCUACUCUUCCAGUACAUACCAUAUUUUACGACUUUAGAUGUAGUAAUUGUCACUAUUCAUUUUUUCACCUUUGUUUAAGUCAGCAAUUAUACUUUUUGAUAUGAGACAAUUUAAGCAAGUUGUUCUCAUCAAUAUUUACUUUAACCACUAUAUGCAUGAGAUAUUCAUUUAAUCACUCAAGCAAAUCAAUUUUCAUAAUGACAUCACAUUUAGCGUAGAAUCGAAAUGGUUGCUAAGUUUCCAAUCAUCAUCCACCAUCUAAAUAUUUAAUCAACAAGUGAAAAAUAUUUCUUAGUGAGUAUUUUAGCAAUGACUUUCAAUUAAGUCUCAGUCCAUUUAAAUAAAAAUAAAUUGAAUUUGUAUAAAGAAAGACAAACAAAACAACUUAAUUCAUAUAUUGAAAAUAAAUUAAUAGCAGCAAAUUACAAGUCAAUUAAAGAUAAAAUCCCCACACUUAACUUCAAAACAGCGAAUAUACACCCUAAAAGAUUGACUUGUCAAAACCUCAUGAUAAACAUCAAUUAAUCUACCAUCCCAAGGUGCUCGGAGAGAGUCUGCUAUCCGAGAUUUCAACAUAAUAAGCCAGUUCAACACGUUUUAAUUCAAAAAGAUGAAUAAAUUCAAAGACGGAAACAUUAUGGGUCAUCUUAAAGAACAUAAAAAAAAAUUUCCCUUUGUUGAAAUCUCGGAUUAGGAAGGUUUAGCUAUUUUAGCAGACUUUCUCUGAGAACCUUAGGCAGGUAGAUUAACUUACGCUUAUCACGAGGUUUGGCCAAGUCAAUCUUUUAGGGCGUAUAUUCAUCAUCUUGAGGUCAAGUGGGAGAAUUUUAUCUUUAAUUGACUUAUAAAUUGUUGUUGUUAAUUUAUUUUCAGUAUAUGAAUUAAGUUGUUUGUCUUUUUUUAUAUAAAUUCAAUUUACUUUUAUUAAAUGGAUUGAGACUUAAUUGAAAGUCAUAACUAAAAUAUUUACUCACUAAGAAAUACUUUUCACUUUUGAUUAAACAAUUAGACUGUGGAAGAUGAUUGAAAACUUAGUGACCAUUUUGAUUCUACACUAAAUGAGUCAUUAUGAAAAUUUAUUUUCUUGCGUGAGUAUAUGAUAUCUCAUCCAUAUAGUGAUUAAGUAAAUAUUGAUGAGAAUAGCUUGCUUAAACUGUCUCUCGUUAACAGACAUGGCAUCAAAAAUUAAAAUUAUUGAUUUAAACAGAUGUGAGAAACUGAAUGGUGACAAUUAUGAUAUAUGGAGUAACAUGAUAUGUACCGGAAGAGAAACGCUCUUCAAGGUAUAAAUCAUGCUUUAAAUCAACCAUAAGAGGGUAACACUGCACAAUACAAGGUAUAAAUCAUGCUUUAAAUCAACCAUAAGAGGGUAACACUGCACAAUACAGAAGAAAUCUUGAAGCUUACAAAGCUUGAAAAAAUAAAGAUCUAGCUGCAUAUGAGAUUUUUCUAAGUUCUAUUGUUGAUGAUCUCAUUAAUGAAUGUGAGGAAUUUCCUAUUGUUCAUGCCACGUGGGCAUACUUGCAAGGAAUAUAUGGAGGUACAUCUAAUAUCUAUGUUAUCAAAAAAAGCAUAUGGAGGUACAUCUAUGACCCAUCUUAGACAACUAAAUAUUAAGUUUGGUACUUAUAAGAAGCGCUAUAAUCAAACAACACCUUAGGGUGAUGUCAAACAUGAUUGUUCAACUCAAAAUUGUUGGCCAUGUACUCUCUGACAAGUAACCGGUUCAGGCAGUGAUCAUGUCUCCUCCCAAUAGUUGAGAACUUUUGAAAGUUAACUUAAGCCACAAUGCUAGCAUCAAAACUUUCUCUGAUGUUGUCUCUCAUGUUGAUCAUGAAAACGAGCAACUUGGUGUUGCUAAAGCUUGUACCUAAUGCCUUUGUGGCAAAAUCAAGUGCCACAAAGUGUUCAGGUUUCAAGGGCAAGAAGUGUCGGAAAAUAACGAAAACGGUAAGGAGGCGGUAGAAGAAUCCUCCAAGAAAAAGAACAAGCCAAAUUUCAAGAAGGGAAAAUGAUUUUUCAAGAAGAAAGACAAGAGUAAGAUGACGUGCUACAACUGCCAAGUUUCGAGGCAUUUUGCUCGUAAUUGUACCGAGCCUAACAAGGUAGCAUUUCAAAACACAUUUGUAAGUACUAUAUAUGUUCCUAGCACUGGUUUACUAACUGAAUCUUAUCUUGUGCGGAUUGUAGACACAGGAACAUUGACCAUGUUAGUUAUGAUCGAGGAGCGUUUGUGGAGUUCCGUCAAGUCUCACCUAGAUCAAGGUGGAUAUAUGUAGAAAAUAAGGCAAGAUUUAGAAGUUAAAGAAAUAUGCAUGUAAUACCCCGUACUUUUUCCUAGCUUAAAUUCGCUCCUAGAAUGUCAAGAACUAGCUUCAAAAAAAUGAAAUCCAUUUUAUUCAUAUGGAAUUUUCAAGAUUUCGACUUUUCAUUGCGUAGGAAAUUGAAUUAGCUUUCCAACAAUAUAAAAUUCGCCCAAAUCCGACACCCGGGCGAAGAAUUAUGGACGUUUUUGUAAAAUAGUGUGCCACCUGAGCCAUCAACACGUCACGGAGCCAGACAAAAUAACAAUCGUCAAAAUCCAGUGAGCCUCCGCGAUCAUGGCGCGUCGCGCCAAGGCUCAAAAUGGCAAUGGUCCUUUUCAGUGUUCCAACGCGAUCCCACCGCAUCGCGGUCUUCCCGGUCGCAACCAAGGAGGCAACGUAAUUCCACCGCGUCGCGCCACCAUGCAAUUUCCUGGUUGUCAUUUUCUAGUGGCUUGGCGCGAUAGUGGCGCGUCGCGCCAGGGGUCCUGAUCGGAAAAAAUUCACGAAAACUUAAAGUUGCACUCAGGGUUAAAACAGUCUUUCCCCGUGUUUUAAUUCGUCCAGAUAUAGGAUUUAAUCCCUAAAAACGUUUAAACCCUUCAUUAUUCACUUUUUUCCAAAAUCAAAAGAUAAUUCUCCCUCAAGAAAACAAACCCUAGCUCUCAAGAAUCAAGGUCAAUCCCAAGAAUUUCUCUAAGAACUCCAAGAAACUCUCAAAUUAAAGUAUGUUAGAUGUUCAUCCAUGGAUCCUUACCUUCCAUGGAGCCCAAGAAUCCUUUUUCAAAAUACAAGUUUGGAUUUCAUGAAUUCUAUGUUUGAAUUUGAUUGUAUCCAUGUUCAUGAUGUUGUUUGGGUUUUAAUCCAUGAUUUAGAUUACAAGUUCCAAGAAUUGAUCCUAGUAUGUGUUGAAUUACAUGAUAUUCAUGAUAAACCCUUCAAUUUGCAAGUUGAUUGUUGUAGCUAUGUUAACCCUAAGUGUUUAUGAUUUAAUGAACCAAGCAUGUUUCCCAUGUGUUUGAUAAAUUGUCUAUGAGAAUGAAAUAAUGCCAUUAUAGCAAUGCCAUUAUAGCAUACUAACAUGUAUUCCCCAUUAAUGCACAAGUUAAUGCAUUACAAGUUUUUAAUGCAAUGUCUCUAUGAACGAACUAUGACCAAGUGAACAUUAUUAUGCUGUGCUUUUAUGCUAUCGAGUCCUGGGGGUAUUUAAUACCGGACAAUUUAGUUGUUUACCUAGAGCUAGUGUCAGUUACAGAAUAGUAGCAGUCAUGUCACAAUCAGUAGCAGUAAACUCAGUCAGUAACAGAACUUAGGAAAAACACAGUAAACUCUGUAUCAAUCUAGUCCAGUUCAGAAUAAUCAGCUCAGUGUCUUUCGGUUAGGAGUAGGAUUCAACACCAAGAGAGCCUAGGGAUGGCGUCUCACCCGUUAGUUAGGACUAGGUCCCUAGAAGAAAGCCCUAAGUUCCAAAACUACGUAGCCAGCGUAGGUUAUGAGAUGUCACCCGUCAGAUAGGAUUAACAUACUCAAGGAUCACCCGCUAGUUUAGGACUGAUCUCAGAGGUCACCCGCUAGUUAGGACUGACUCCACAGCAGUUGUCUUUACCCGUGGCACGGUACUGACACCCUUCCAAUUGGGGUUACAGAUUAGACCCCAACUCAGUUAUCUUAUCUUAUUUGGGGCAUGUCGGUUAGAUAAUCACCUCCCACAGUUUCAGUUUCAGUUUAGAACUCAGUUCAGUUCUACAGUAUCAGGACUGUCAGCUACAGUCGAUCAGUAUCAGUAUCAGUAACUCAGUUAUCAGUAAAUUUCAGAUUAUCAGUUACUCAGUUACCAGAAUUCAGUACUUAGCUUCAGAAAAGUUCAGAUACAGUGUAUACCUAUGUAUGUCCACAGUAUCGCAUACUCAGUGAUUUCAGUAGUAUCAAUUAUUCACGUACUCUCAUGUUCAGUUACUCUUUAUUGUUUAGUCAGUUAUUGUUCAUGCAUAUGAACCCUUGCAUUCAGCCAUACCUCAUUUAGCAUACUAGUACAUUCCCACGUACUGAUCGCAUACCCGUUUCUUACGCUAUAAUGUUUCAUAUCAUAGGUUCGGAUGCUCAGGUUCCUGACUGCGUUUAGCCAGAUUCAGCCAGCAAUAGCAGAGUUAGUAGUGAGUGCUCAUCUAUCGAGGAUAUACUUCUAUUCCAGUAUUUCAGCUUAUCAGUAGCUCAGUAGUCGGAGUUAGUUGGGGACUUGUCCCAGCAACUCCACUUUCAGACAGUUCAGAUUAGAGGCUUUCAGACUAGAGUUCAAGACAGUAUUUAGUUUUACAGAUUGUUAUUUCAGAUGUUAUGUUAUUUAUCAAUAUUUUUAGAUUUUGAACCUUAUGGCAUUUCAGCCUAUUUUCCGCAUUUUAUAGUAUUAUUAUUCCGUGCUCACAACAAAUAUCAGUCAUGUGUUAGCUUGUGGUCCUUCGGGGUCGUAAGCACCAUGUAGCGUUCAGGGUAUAGACUGGGGGCGUUACAAUGCACUUGCAAAAUGGACUUGCGCGGUGGCCUAACUUUGAUGUUGCAUGGCGCUCUAUAUACUCAUCCGACAAAACUUAGUCUUUGUGUCUGUUCUUUUAGAUGUUGGAAAUUGGGUCAUGGAUUGCUCCAUAUGAGCUGACCCUACCCAAUUAGUAGAGAUAAGAAAAUUAGAAGGGUCAUUAUAUGGGAAAUUUUAUUUUAACCAGAAAACUCCCACUCAAUUGUUGUUCCUGUUAACACCAUUCAGAAGAUGUUGAUCUAUAUGCAACCAGGAAGGCCAGUUCUAUUUCACUAGGAAAUAGAACUAUGAUUCCAUAAACCAUAUGUACCUUUUAGUGUAUGCUUUUGGGAGUUACAAGAAGUAGUCUUUUCUCUGUUCACUUUUGAAGAAAAAAAGUGUGAUUCUCUUUUUAAUCUAAAUAGAAGGGGAGGUAGAGGUAAAGAAGUUACAAGAUUUCUCCUACCCACACACCCACGUUCAAAAUAGGGUUGCAAUUAUCUUGUUUGUGGUACCUCCUAGUAACCUCUUAGUUAUAACUUCAUGUAGGUUUAUUUCUCCUAACGUUCGAGUCGGGUCGGAUCAGUUCACAUAGGCAGCCACGAGGGUGUAUCAUACGCAGCCUUAAUUUUUUUAUACAAAAAAAGGGUGAGUCUAGUGCACUAAGGCUCUCGCUAUGUGUGAGAUCCGGGUAAGGGUCUAUUCUACACAACCUUACCCUGCAUUUGUACAAGAGGUUGUUUCCAUGGCUUGAACCCGUAACUUCCUAGACACAUAGCAACAACUUUGCAAGUUACUUCAAGGCUCAACUUCAAAAUCAAAUUGGUUUGACAAGAGGGGUUCCUAAUACGUGAGUUUGGCGAAUAAAUUCACCCAUUCAAACACACUCGCGCGCGUAUAUAUAACAGAUUUCUCGAAAGUAAUGCAAAGUAAAUGGUAGGAAUGGGUAGAAAAACAGAAAGAAGAACAAUACCGAUUAGCAGCAAAGGAGAACCCAACAUUGCCAAGACGGUAAGUAGAGAGUCUUCGGAAUGUAGACCUACUCCGACGAACAAUUUUACGGACAACAGGGUCAAUUUGGUGAGAACGAUUAGCCAUGCAACAUUUCCGGCACCACCCUUCCAGAUCAAUCUCCGUCCAACAAUUGGGACCAGACACAACCUCCAUCCAACACCGGCAAACUAACGCCACACUCCUCACCAUCAACUCAGGGGGAACAAUCCUGACGAAAAUUGAAGCUAAUAUCUCUGAAUCCAACUCAUCCCAUCUACCUCCGCCGCCGCCGCCGGCUAUGCAUACGGCGUCGUUUGCGACUUCAACGCAUGCCCUUUUCGAGUUUUCCGUAGAUUCCAUUUGUUUGGACAAAAGGGCUGUGUCGAGUGAGGUAUGUAAGUUGUAGCGCUUCGAGUUUUCCGUUGUUGGGGGGUUUUGUUUUUGCUGGCAGAGGAUUUAGAUGACUCACACGUGUCGAGACUCCUUUCAUAGUAACUCAUCUAACGGCUGAAAACUGGAUCAUCUAAGUGUUAGAUACGGGUGUAAUUUUGUAUUCCUUACUCGGACUAGUUUGGUACGUGAGAUAAUAAAUUAUUUCAAAAUUAAUUUUACAAUAAAUUUAUUUUAUGACUGAAAUAAUAUGUAUGGGAUGAUUUAUUUUGAUAUUACCUAUUCUGAAAUUGUAAUUUUAUUUUUAUAAUUAAUCUCGAGAUAAUUUAUUUCCUACCAAACAAUUCUUAAAAUUUUUACUACACAUAAUAGUUGCCAUUCAUAUUUUAAUUAACUUUGUAAUUUAGAUUAAGAGUUCGUAUAGGAUUAAAAUCUGGUCAAAUCAACUUUUAAUUUUUAUUUUUUUUUUAGUUUUUUAGGUCUUUGAUAAAAUUAAAAAAUACUUAAAAAAGAUAAAAGUUGAUUUUAAAAAGCAAAAAGUGGGAAGUUGGAUACCCAACUUUUUAUUUUUCAGAUUAAAAUUAUUUUAAAUUUGACCAAAAUAUUUACAUUUUUAUCGCUUAUAUUUUUCUUCAAUUUCGAAAAUACUUAAACUUGAAGCUCUUAAAUAUAUAGUUUUUUUUCCUUUUUCUCACUGCUACUUCUCUUCGUCUCUUUCAAUUUCCUCUUCAUUUUUCUUCUCUGUUUUCAGCGAAUUGGCCACUACAUCGGAGGUUUACAUAUUUUUUUAACAUAGUCAAAUUGUUACAAGCUUGCAAUAAUACUAUUUUUAUAUAAAAAUGUCCAAAAUUUUUUAUUUUUUAACAUUUAAAAAUAAAAUAGUAACUUAUAUUUAGAAAUUAAUUUCACAUAAUCACUUUAUUGAAAGUCCAGUUAAAUAAAAAUUAUUUUUGAAUUAAUAGAAUUAAAAUUAUAAAUAAUUCACUUUAUUUGUGGUUUUAAUAACUUCAAGGACACUUAAGUCAUUUUGACAACAAAAAGAUACUUAGCAUUACUAGUUUACCAAAAACAUCAACAACUUUUUUUCAGUUUCAACACUUCUAUCCAAAUACUUAGCUACUAUAACCACUUAUUUUAAGUUUUUAAUCAUUUAGAGCCCGUUUGAAUAAGAUUAAAAAAAAUAGCUUUUUAGCUUUAGUGAUUAAAAAUUUAAAAUAAGUGUUUAUAAAUUAAAUAGAUAAAUGUUUAGAUAGAAGUGUUGAAACUAAAAAAAAAAUUAUUGAUGUGUUUGGUAAACAAGUGAUGUUAAGCACCUUUUUGUUGUCAAAAUGACUUAAAUGUCCUUAAAGUUGUUAACACCAUACAUAAGAUGAAUUAUUUAUAAUUUUUAAUUCUAAUAAUUCAAAAAUAAUUUUUAUUUAAAUGCACUUUCUUCGUAAAGUAAUUAUGUGAGGUCAAUUUAUAAAAAUAAGUUUAUUUUAAAAUAUUAAAAAAUAAAAAUUUUAGGACAUUUUUAUACAAAAAUAGUAUUAUAUUGUAAUAUUGAAAGCUUGUAGUAAUUUGGCUAUGUUAAAAAAUAUGUAAACCUCCGAUGUAAUGAUGGAUUCACUGAAAACAAAGAAGAAAGAUGAAGAGGAAAUUGGAGGGAAAAGACGAAUAGAAGCAACAAAGAGAUUUUUUUUUUAUAUAUUUAAGGAUUACAAGUUCAGAUAUUGUUGGGAUUAGAGGAAAAUAUAAAGGAUGCAAAGGUAAAUAAUAUGGUCAAACCUAAAAGAAUUUUAAUCUAAGGGUCCGUUUGGAUGAGCCGAAAAAAAAUGGCUUUUAAAAAGUUCUUUAAAAGUGCUUUUGAAAGUGCUGGACUUAUUUUAAAAAUAAGCAAUUCUGUGUUUGGGUAAAAGUACUGAAACUGAAAAAAAGUUAUUGAUGUGUUUGAUAAAUAAGUGCUUUUAACCACUUGUUUGAUCAAAAUGUUUGAAAUACCCUCAUAGUUGUUAAUAAUAUAUAGAGUUGAUUAUUAUUAUUUUUUAUUGCUAAAAUGAUUCAAAUUAAAAUUAAUAUAUAUAUAUAUAAUAUUUUCAUGAAUGACUAUUAAUUUGUGCGCUAAAAAAUCAUUUUUUUUAAGAGUUUAAGUGUUAAUGUUUUAAUGUGUUUUAAGAGUUUAAGUGUUGAAUGUUUUAAUAUGUUUGAAAAAGAGUUAUAUAUAAAUCAUUUUUUUUUAGAGUUUAAGAUUAUUUGGGAGACUGCCGCUUUAAGAGAGAACAACUGGUUAGUUUUGAGAGCAAAAUGAAUAUGCUGGAGAGUAAAAGAAAAUUAGGGCUACAAAAGGAUAUAUUCGGAAUAAGGAACAAUUACAGGGGAUAUAUAUGUCAGUUACAUGAUCAACUUAAAUUGGCUUAUCAGCUCCCCAAGAAAAAAAGUUAGGGAAAGCUACUUUUUACUUUAGGCUUUUAAAAAGUGAAAAUUGACUUUUUUUUUAAGUAAUUUUGGAAAUUAUCAAACAUUUUCAAAAACGAAAAAAAAGCCAUUUUGAUAAAAAAAAUAAAAAAAUUAAACUUAUGCAAACACCCUUUAAAGCUUUUUACUUUUAGCUUUUUUAAGUACUUUUUAAUUUUACCAAACAACUAAAAAAACUAAAAAAAAGAGAGAUUAAAAGUUGAUUUGACGAAUUUUAAUCCUAUCCAAACAGACUCUUAAUCUAAAAAGCUAUUUUUUUUAAUUCUAUCCAAACGGAUUCUAAAUAUGUUUCUGUUAAAAUGUGACAACUAAAAAUGGUCUAGAGAGAAUAUUCUUCAUUAUUUUAUUUAUUAUUUAUAUUUAUUAUACCUUUAAGUACUCUCACAUAAAAUUUUAAAUAAUACAAUGAACAACAAAAAUUAGUAAAAAUGCCAAUAAAAGAAGAUAAUAGGAAAAAACUCUUGUUGGCCGUAGUCCGUAGAGUUUAUAUCCAGUUUUAUAUGUAUAUAAAGAUUAUCUAUAGCCAUUAAGCAUGGAGUUAAUAACUCAAAUGGUCAUUUAAUUUAUGACUUUUCUCUCAUAAAGUCACUCAACUUUGUUUCUUACUUCAAAAGUCACUCAACUUAGGAUUCUUCUCUCAGAAAGUCAUCCGACUUUGAUUUUUUACUUCAAAAGUCAUUUAACUAUGAAUAUUUUACUUACAAAGUCACUCAACCUAUUUAAUUAAUCUAUUUUUAAUUAAAAUUUGCUAACAUGAAAAUUUAUUUAAAACUAAAAUACUAAAAAAACUAAAAAAAAUCAUUUGAACCAUAUCAUUACAUAUUCUCAUGUUUACUUUAUAACCUGCUGAAAUUUAAAAAUAUCGUAAAUAGUUAAUAUCAAUUCACUUAUAAUGUUAAUAUUAAUUUUUAAGAUUUUUAGAAGGAAAGAUUACAGAAACUAGCAUCCUUAAAACUAUAAUUAUAAUAAAUAGCAACACUUUUUCAAAAUUACAACUUGUAGAAAAAGUAGCAAUAUUUUACCCACUUCAUAGUAAUAGAAGAAUAUGUAUUUUCCAGUUGUACAUAUGUAUUUAUGAGUAAUAUAUAUAUAUUUGUAUAUGUAUUUAUAUAGUAACAUUUUACUUAAAUACAAAAUAUAAUUUGCUACUUUUCGUAAUUAUGAAACUGUUGCUAUAAAAGUUAUAAUUAAGGCUACAGAGUUGUUAUUUCUGAAAUUUCCCCUUUUUAGAAUCAUAUUCAUUUGUCUGAUUAGAUUUAAUUAACUUCCAACGUGAUACUUACCUACGAAAUUGAUUUUUCAAUCGUAAUAUAUUUUUUUGUAUUACCACUUGAAUAAUAUACAUAUGCAUCAAAUAAAUACAAUGAAUUCUAUUCCCACUAAGUUGAUAAAAGAGAACGUUAUAGAUUUUAAACUAAAAUGAUAUGAUAUGAAUUGUUAGCAAAUGUUAUUAAACAUUAGUAACAUUAUAAUAUAUACACUGCAACAAGAUAAAAUUAGCAACAAAAAUUAUACAAUCAAAUGAUUAUGAUUUUAGGAUAUUAAUUGAUGAUUUGUAUGACUAUAUAUACUUUAGAGUAUAGAGUAACCAUUGAAUAAGAAAAUUGAUAAAAAUAGUAGUAAAAUUAAAAUUCUAAGAAAUAAAGGAGGUAUUCUUUCAAACCAUUUAAAUGAAUUUUGGAUAUGGGCAAGCCAUUAAAUGGGUUGUUUAAAUGAUUUUCCCUCUUUCUUAUUUCUUAGGAGUAAAAUUUUGGUUUAAAUAAAAAUUACAUGUCAGUAAAUUUUAAUGAAAAAAAUUAAUUAAAUAGUUUCAGUGACUUUGUAAGUAAGACACUCAUAGUUGAGUGGCUUUCUUAGAAAAAAACUUAUAAUUGAAUGAUUUUUGGAAUAAAAAUCAAAGUUAAGUGACUUUUUGAGAGAAAAAUCAAAUUCACCAUUUGGGUUAUUAACUCAUUGAGCAUGUCAAUUCCACCCUCGGAUCAUUAUACAAGGCGCAUGGCCAACAUAUGGUGUUUAUUCAUUAUAAGAUUAUAUUUACAUAGAUUGCUACUAUUUGAGUAAUUGAUUGAAGUAUUAUUCCAACGUUUUCAUAUAAGACGUUGCAAACAACUUUCAGAAAAUGCAAAAUCAUAUUUUUACUGACACAUAUAGCCUAAGAGAAUUUCGUUCGAAGUUUUGCAAUCUGUGUCUUAUUGAGCAAGAAGCUCUUGGCAAGAACGUCAUCUAUAUUAGGUGGUUCUGAAGCAAGGAUGGCUCCAGGAAUCGCCAUGGUUCCAGGAUUUUGACUGUUGUAAAAAGCGAGAAAAGUAGCUUUUUUGUGUCCCACAUUAUAUAUGAAGCGGACUACACCUAAUGGGAACACAAAAACAUCACCAGGAUUACCCUUAAAGAAGAGAUUUUGAAGAAGAGAUUACUCUUAAAGAAGUUUGCACCAUCAGCAACAAGAAAUCCUGCAUAGAGAGUACCCUCCAGCAGGACAGUUAUCAGCUCAGCAGCUCGAGGAUGCAUGUGAAGUGGAACAACGCCCUGAGGUUCCAAGUCGGCACGAGCGAUAGAAAUACCAAGAGUGUUAAGUCCAGGCAUGUUAUUAAUUAAAUUCAGAAUCUUUAGUGUAAAACCAAACUUGGGAAAUACAUUUCCACCAACAUUAAGACCUGAAGUAAAAAAAUCAUCUGCUUUUGCAAGCUUUGGGUCUUUGCAAAUCUUCCCAUUCACGAAAACUGCACAGUAAAAUAAAAUGAAGCUAAGCAUGUUAUUCAGAUAAUACUUAAAGAGUUAACAAGCUGAUACAAAUCAGGGCUGUUAACUGGGCCGGGCUGGGUCAACCCGGGUCCGGCCCAUCACAUCUAACCGGUUUUGUGGGUGGGCCAGGUUAAACGGGUUGGUCUGGUUUCGGGCCCAACAGUAAAUUUUAAAAAAAAAUCCGGGAUCUGCCCACUACACCUAAUCCAGUUCAACCCACCUAAACCCGGUCAAAACCAAUCCAAAAUCCGGUCAAAACCGGUGAAAACCAAAAAUAAAAAAAUAAAAAAAUUCUCCAAUAUACACUAUAUAUACCUACCUAUAUACAUUUUAAAUACGUUAAACAAUAUAUAUACACUAUAUAUAUAGUAUAUACUACAUUAGAAUUUAAAAAACAUAUACACAAUUACACAUGUAAUCGUGUAUACGUCUAUACGUUAGUUAAAUAUAUAUACUACUCUAAAUAAAACUUAUACUACAAUAUACUAAUAUAUAUUAUAAUUUAUAAAACAUAUACACAUGUAUACGUUAAAUAUAUACUACUUUAGAUUUUAUAGAAGAUAUAUACACAUAUAUACGUACCAUUCAAUAUAUUUAUACUACUUUAAAUAAAACAUAUAUUACAAUAUAUAGACAUACUAUAUAUAUAGUUAUAUACUAAUUUAUAAAACAUAUACACAUGUAUACGUUAAAUAUAUACUACUUUAGAGUCUAUAGAAAAUAUAUACACAUAUAUACGUACCAUUCAAUAUAUGUAUUACUUUAAAAAAUAUGCUACUUAAUAUAAUAAAUUAAUAAUACUUGAUAGUAAAUUAGUUAUAUAUUAAAAUUAAGUAUUUAAUUUAAACUAGAAAUUCAAUUUAAAUCAUUAAAUGAAAAAAAUUACAAAGUAAGGAUUAAGGAGUGAAUGAGUGUUAUAUUUUAUUGAUUGUAAAAUGAUUCCAAAUUUAUAAUGUACAUGAAUGAAAAAUCUACAAAGUUCUCAUCAUUUUUUCAACUCAUCCAUGUUAAUAUUAACGGAAACUUGCAUAAGAUAGUCAAAGUCAAUGGAGACAAAACCAUGCAUUGGACAUGAUUCUGCUGAGUUCUCCUGUGAAGUCAUAAUUUCUUCAAGUUUCUGUUCAUCUUUCGGCUCCACCUCCAUUCCUUGAUUUCUUCGUUCCGCUCUAAUCCAAUCUCUAAGGCAAAUUAGAACAUUCAUAGCAUUGCUUCCCAAUGAGUGUCGGUUGUCUCCAAGCUAUUGUCGUCCCUAACUAAAAGUGCUCUCCGAUGCAAUGGUUGACAUUGGAACAUUCAAUAUAUCUCUAGCUAAUCUUGAAAACACAGGAUAUUGUGUUUCAUUAUUCUUCCACCAAUCUAACGCGUUGAUCUGUCGUCUACGAUCCUCUAGCGGUGUUCAAAGAUAAUACUUAAGCUCUUCCCGAUAAGUUGUUGUGUAAGUUCCCACCUUAACACUGUUCCACCAAUUUAAAUCAUAAAAGUAAUCAAGAAAACCACUAUGUGUCGGACUUUUAGAAGAUGAUGGCUCUUUGGGAGGAUGAGGAGCAAUAGUUAGAGUGAUAUUUGUCAGUACAGCUAAAUCAAGUAAAUCAGCAUAAUGGUUAUAUAAUUUAUCUAUGUAAGCAUUCGCAUCACCCAUAGCCGUCCACAAAUCUGGUUGUUCUUGUUCUUCCUCAUCAGAAUCAUUGUUAGUAUUUUUCUCUAAGUUAGAAUAAAUAAGAGUACUAAAUGGCAUAUAGUAGUAUAGUUCAUACAUGGAUUUAUCAUAGCACCACCCAAGUAAAUAAGGGGAAUUGGAAAAAAAUAUUCUUUAAAUUUAGCAAAUAUAGCACCAACAACUUCUUUGUAACCUUCUUUAUUCUUAUAUUCUUUGAGUGAACCAAAAAUAUGGGCUAUGUAUGCUAAAAUAUUACAAACAGUAGGAUAAUAAGCACCGAAAAAUUCAACCGUAUCUAUAUAAAAAAAUUUCAAAAACUUAACAAGAUCAUCAAUUACAGCUCAAUCAGAAUCAUGUAGCAUACAUUCAGCCGAAUCAACAAAUAAACCACAAUGUUGGUUAAAAGUUAGUGUAAUAGAAACUCUAUAUUUAUGACAAGUUUUUAAAAAAUCAUACGUAGCAUUCCAUCUAGUAUCACAUUCUUCAAGCAUCAAUAUCGGUGCAAGUCCAUUUUGUUCACAUUUAACUUUAAAUUCUCUAAUUCUUUUUCUUCAAUUAUUUCCUUGAACAAAACCAACAACAAGCCGGAUUUUUUCAAUAUAAAGAUCAAAAAACUCAAGACCAUCUCUUACAAUUAAAUUAUAUAUAUGACAAACACACUUAACAUGGAAUAUUUCAGGUAACGGCGGAGAUAACUUAGCUUUUAACUUGGUAAUAGCAGUCUUGUUGUUAGAAGCAUUAUCAAAAGCAAUACAUAAGAGUUUAUUUUCAAUACCAUAAAAUUCUGCAAUUUUACCAAUCGAAUAAACAAUAAAAUCUCAAGUAUGUUUACGAUCUUCAUCAUACAAAAAAGGUAGAAUACGUUUUUGCAUAACAAAAUUACUAUCUAUCCAGUGACAAGUAAUGGUUAAAUAAUUAUUUUUAUUAACAGCACAACCAAGAUAAGAAGUUUGAGUCAUUCUACAUUGAAUAUUUUUUAACAAUUUAGAUAAAUAAAAACAAUAUUAUGAAUGAAGUCUAAAAAUAUCAGCCCGACAAGUACUUCUAGGAAUAUCAUUAAACAUAAGAUUAUAAAUUGCUUGAAUAUAAUGAAUAAAAGCACCAGAAGAAGGAAAACUGAAAGGCAAACAACCCACAACUACUAUUUUUGUUAUUUCUUCCCGGUCCUCAAUUUAUUAUACAUCUUAAUUACCUGACCGGUUGCUGGGUCCAUUCUAGUGUGUGUUGGCCCACCAACAUCCUGACCACCUUUUACAAUAAGUAACUCUCUUUCGUGAUUAUCACUUAUAUGUCUCAUUAACGUACCCCGUAUCCCCUUGCUUGCCUUCUCUUUUAUGCUUAUAUAUUUGUUGACAAAUAUUGCAUUGCACCUCAGUAUCUGAUAUACGUGUAAAAAAUUGUCAUGCAAUACUAGUUGUUUUACGAGCUCUUGGGGCACGGGAGGACGGGGAGGGCAAUUAACCGAUUCAGAUAUAAUAUUAGCAUUUCCUACUGCGGGUGUCUCACCAAUAUUUUCAUCAUCUUCAUCUAAAUCAACCGCAUCUACUUCAUUUUCUUUUUCUAUAACGUAAUUUUUCUGAGCUUCUACAUAACCCAUAUCGUGAGCACCUACACCUACUUCUUCCUCAAAAGGUUGACUAAGCGGUACUGGAUGCGGAGGCACACGGGUACAUCUACUACUUGAACUACCUCUACCGCCAGUAGUUCACUUUUUACUACCACUAUCACUUCCGGGAUAAUUUUUUUUUACACUUUUAAUAGCGAGGUUUCUUAAUUUAUUCAUAAUAUAAAUCAAUCAAAAAAAAUUUAAAAUACACAAAUAUAAUAAAAUUAAAUAUUCAACAAUUAAUACACUAACUAAAAAUUAAAAGUAAGAGAUGGAACGACAAUAUUAAAUUUUAGAAUUAUCCUGCCACGACCCGAUUUCUCAAGUCGUGAUGACACCUAUUUUAUCCCCCUAGUAGGCAAGCCAAGCCAUAGCCCGAAAUAAUAGAUAACGGGCUAAUAGGCAGAAAUCAGAAAAGAUCGAGUAUAAUGAUAGUAGUAGUAAUAAAAAGUAACAAACAGAAAGUAACCAUAUCUCAUAUACUAAAAUGAGGAAAAAAAAAUUACCAAAUACACAAAAGAAUCCCUCCCUGGUAAGGUCGGUACUAGAGCCACAACUAAAAUAUACCCAGAGUACUAGACAAAAAUCUAAAAUGUACACAAUAUACAAAAGCAGUCUCGAGUACAAAAGAAUAAACCAGAGUAGAUAGAGAAGGAUCAGCCCUGGAAGACAGUAAACUCACCCUACUCUGAAUCAGUACUGGAAGGUAGGAAUCACGUCAACGUCGACAACUAGGGCCGGAUCUACAUCAGGAAAAAGAUGCAGAAGUGUAAUAUGAGUACUAAAAACAAUGGGUACUCAGUAGGCAUCAUCGGAUAACUAUAGUGCGAAGGCUUAAUCUGAGUCAUCAGUAAAAAGGGAUAUAAAGGUAAAUAACUACUAAGCUAUGCCACUGAGAUAGAUAAAUAACUGUAAGCGAUAAAGAAAAAUAAAUAACGCAGUAAUUACAAACAAAUCAAACAUAACCUAACUGGCCCUCAUAAGCCAGCUAGGCACACAACAUAACCUAACUGGGCCCCCAUAAGCCCGUUAGGCACACUGAAGAAGACAAUUAACCUAACCAUACCCUCAUAAAUUGGUGGAACAUACAAGUAGCAAUUAAAAAAAGUAAACGUAAAUAAUUUGUAACCGAACUGAUCUCAAGAAAUCAUGAUAGUCAUCCAGAUGUGCACCAGACUCGAACCGGUACCAAUGGGUAGUAAUGAGAGGCCAGAUAUAUAGAACUCAUAAUCAGAUGUCGGACUUAAACUGAAACUCAGAGUAAUCACAACCAUAAUCAGAUGCCGAACUAGAACCGAAACUCAUAGUAACAAUAAUAGUCAAAUGCCGGACUCGAACCGAAACUCAUAGUAACAAUAAUAGUCAGAUGCCAGACUUGAAUCGAAACUCAUAGUAACCAUAAUAAUCAGAUGCCGGACUCGAACCGAAACUCAUAGUAACCAUACCCAACGGUAAUAUUAAAAUCCAUAUCAUAUCAUAACAAUGUUAACGUCUAAAUAAUCAUCUGCCAAUUUUAAUUAAAAAGGGAUAAAUUCAAGAUUUUUAUAUUUUAGUUUCACAUCCUAAAGUAAUAGAUGCUAUAUUAUAUUAAAAAAAAUAAAUUCCAAUAUUUACUAGAACAGGGUCCUAAUUCGGAUAAAUAAGACAGUUUAUAUAAAUCACAUGAUAGGCAUCUACAAGAACCUAUCCAAUGCUAACAUAAUAGCAGUAAAUAAACUCAAUCUAAAGGUAGGGUAAACCUAGCCUACCUGGACGCCAAAGCUAGAAUAUCUGCCCGCGAAACCUCCGAAUAAUACUAGUAGAACCCAAGCUUGAAUAAUAGAUUCGAAUAAUUAAUUUAUAUGAAAUUUCAUAAGACUAACCAAGAACUUAAAUUGAUUUUCUAAAAAAAAAAAAAAGCAAACCGAGAAAGACCAAUAUAUGGGAUGAUAGAGAUAUGGACGAGUAUAUGUAUAGAAGCAGUGAAUGAAAGUCCACUCUUCUUAUUUGUUUUUACUUUUAGAAAGGGUAAAUGCUAUCAUAUGGUGGCCUGACAAGUGGCAGCAACAUGUGGUCCAUCCAUCCGUUUCCAAGUGUGGGGUGAUGGCCACAUUCAUUAAUUUUCUACACAGCAUAUAUAUAUUCGGCUAUUGCAUAAAUUCAUGAUAAGAUAAUUAUAAUAUUUUGAAUAUACCAUAAUUAAUAUAAAAUUAUUUCUAACAAAACCUCUAUUAUAUAAUAAUAAUAAUAUUUUCACAAUUCUAAAAUUACUAUCUCCAUUUAAAAUAUUAAUAAAUCAUAAAAGUCUAUUAUAAAGUGAUAUAAUUAUAUCAUUACUUAAAGAAUUUUACCAAUAUUGAAAAUAUUCUAGAAGAGUACUAAACUAUAUUUCUACCAAAUGCCAAGUUAAAUUAAAUAAUCCAUGAUAUAUUUAGAUAGUACUAAAGUUAUAUAAAAAUACAGUAAAAUGAUCGUAAGGGUCAUUACAGCAUCCACUACUAAAAGGACUUUUGUCUGCGAAGGUAAAAGAUAAGGAAAUACCUGAAGAGUCAAACAUGUAGGGAUACUGGGCGCGCAUAUCACGCUCGAUCUCCCAAGUAGCCUCCUCAACUGGACGGUGAUGCCACUGAACUUUAACUACCGGAAUGUCCCUGGAGCGCAACUGCCUGACAUCCCUCGCCAAAAUAGACGCUGGCUCCUCUACAAACGCGAAUCCCUCGUCCAACUGAACCGAGUCCCACUGAAGUACGUGUGACUCAACUGGAAUAUACUGCCGCAACAUAGAUACAUGAAACACUGGGUGAAUGGCUGAGAAGGCAGGUGGCAAUGCCAACACAUAAUCUACCUCCCCAAUUCUCUGUAGGAUCUCAAAAGGUUCGAUAUAUCUAGGGCUAAGCUUGCCUCUUCUUCCAAACCUCAUCACAUCCUUCAUAGGCGAUAUUCGCAAAAAUAUCUUAUCACCAACUCCAAAACUCAAUGGACGACAUCUGCGAUCAGCAUAACUCCUCUGUCUGCUCUGAGCUGCUUAUAGCCUAUCCUGAAUCACUCGAACACGAUCCAACAAAUCACGAAGCAAAUCUGUGCCACAAGGUAUAGCCUCAGAAGUCUCAAACCAACCAAUAGGAGAUCGACAUCGCCUACCAUACAAUGCCUCGAUGGGGCCAUCGAAAUACUCAAGUGAAAGCUAUUAUUACAUGCAAACUUUGCCAAAGGUAGAAACUGGUCCCACUAACCUCCAAAAUCCAACACACAAGUGUGUACCAUAUCUUCUAAAACCUGGAUAAUCCACUCUAAUUGCCCAUCCGUCUGGGGAUGAAAGGCUGUGCUAAGGUCAACCUGGGUUCCCAACUUCUCCUGAAAUGUCCUCCAAAAGCUAGAAGUGAAUUAAGAUCCUCGGUCAGAGAUAAUGGACACAGAAACUCCAUGCAGGCGAACUACCUCCUAAAAUUAAACACGGGCUAACCUCCCGGCACUUUAGAAAACUCGAAUGGGGAUAAAAUGUGCAGACUUGGUUAAUUGAUCCACGAUAACCUAAAUGCUAUCAAAACCACAUGAAGUACGAGACAAUCCACCUACAAAAUCCAUAGUAACUCGCUCCCACUUCCACCGGGAAUGGGUAGCUGCUGAAGCAAUCCACCAGGUCUCUGAUGCUCGGCCUUCACCUACUGACAACAAAGACAUUAUGCCAUAAACCCUGCUAUGUCUUUCCACAUACCACUCGACCAGUAAUGUUGCCUCAAAUCCCUAUACACCUUAGCUGUCUCGGGUGAAUAGAGUAUAUGGAGCUAUGAGUCUCACGAAGAAUCAACUGGAUCAAAUCCCCAACCCUUGGAACACAAAUACGACCGUCAAACCUCAAGACACCUUCAGAAUCCAGGGUAGGACGUUGAGACUCACCCUUCAACAUCUGCUCUCGAAUGCUACGAAACUUGCCAUCCUCGAACUGAAGACUUUGGAUUUUCUCCAACAAGGUAGAUCUGGCCUCAACACUAGCAAAAAAUUCCCUGAGGGUCAGAAAUAUCCAAAUGAACCAUAAUGUUAGCUAAGGACUGAAUGUCCAAAGCCAACGGUUGUUGAGAAGCUGCAAUGAACGCUAAGCUACCCAUACUCACUGACUUUCGACUCAAGGCGUCCGCUACCACAUUCACCUUACCCGGAUAAUAGAGAAUAGAGAUAUCAUAUUCUUUCAGUAACUCAAUCCACCUACGCUGCCUCAAAUUAAGCUCCUUCUGGGUCAUAAUAUACUGCAGACUGUGAUGAUCAGUAAAUAUCUCACAACGAUCCCUAUCUAAGUAAUGCCUCCAGAUCCCAAGCGCAAAUACUAUUGCUGCCAACUCUAAGUUAAGAGUGGGGUAGUUGCGCUCAUGCACCUUCAAAUGUCUUGAUGCAUAUGCAAUAACACGACCGCACUGUAUCAGAACACACCCCAAACUAACACCAGACGUAUCACAAUAGUCAGUAAAACCAUCGUCCUCAACAGGAGGAGUCAGAAUAGGAGCUGAAGUUAGCAAAUCCUUGAGCUUCAUAAAACUCGCCUCACAACUUAUAGACCACCGAAACGGAAUCUCCUUCCUGGUCAAUCUAGUCAUAGGGGCUGUAAUAGAAGAAAAUCCCUCAAUGAACCGCCUGUAGUAACCUGCCAACCGAAUAAAGUUGCGAACCUCAGAAGGUGAUGUAGGCCUAGCCCAACUACGAAUAGCCUCAAUCUUUGUUGGGUCCACCAUAAUACCGUCCUUGGACACUACGUGCCCCAAGAAAGCUAUAGACUCAAGCCAAAACUCACACUUUGAGAACUUGGCAUAAAACCUGUGGUCUUUCAAAGUGCGGAGUACAUUCAUCAAAUGCUGCUCGUGCUCCUCCUUACUCUUCGAAUAUACUAGAAUGUUAUCAAUAAAUACUAUCACGAAAGAGUUCAAAUAUGGCUUGAACACGCGAUUCAUCAGAUCUAUAAAAGCUGCUGGAGCAUUGGUCAACCCAAAAGACAUCACCAGGAACUCAUAAUGACCAUAACGAGUCCUGAAGGCUGUCUUAGCGAUGUCUGCAACCCUAACUCUCAAUUGAUGGUAACUGGACCUCAAAUCAAUCUUAGAAAACACCGCUGCACCCUGAAGCUGAUCAAACAAAUCAUCAAUAUGAGGCAUAUAAUACUUAUUCUUAUAGUAACCUUAUUCAACUGCUGUAGUCGAUACAUAUACGCAAGGAGCCAUCUUUCUUCUUCAUAAAUAGAACUGGAGCACCCCAAGGAGAUACACUUGGUCUGAUAAAACCCUUACCCAGAAGAUCCUGAAGCUGACUAUUCAGCUUCUUCAACUCUGCAGGAGCCAUACGAUAUCGAGUAACAGAAAUAGGUUGGGUACCUGGCUCGAGGUCAAUAAUAAAAUCUACAUCACGCUCGGGAGGAAGGCCAGGUAGGUCGAUUAAAAAUAUAUCUAGAAACUCGCGAACAACAAGGACGGAGUCAAGCGGGGGACUCUCAGCACUAACAUCCCGAAUAUAUGCAAGAAAUGACUCGCAACCCCUCGAUACUAGUCUCCUAGCCCGGAUGUAUGAAAUAAUCCCCGUCGGUGCGCGACUAACAGAACCCUGCCACACAAUUGAGGGUAUGCCAGGCAAAGGUAAAGUAACGGUCUUAGCAAAACAAUCCAAGACCGCAUGGGAAAGAGACAACCAAUCCAUGCCUAGAAUCACAUCAAAAUCAACCAUAUCUAGUGCAAUGAGGUCAAUCUAAGUAUCAAAUUCUCAAAUAGUCACUAAACAAGAUCUAUAUACCCGAUCCACUACUAAAGAAUCACCCACUAGGGUAGCCACACGUAAUGGCAUAGAUAAAGACUUCGAACAUAAACCCAGUCGCGAUGCAAAAUAAGCAGAAAUAUAUGAAAAGGUGGAACCGGGAUCAAACAAAGCAGAAGCUGGCUGAUGGAACAUGAAAAUCGUACCUGUGAUCAUAGCAUCUGAAGCCUCAGCCCCUGAUCUACCUAGAACAAUAUACAAAUUACCUUGUCCACUACUAGACUGGGUACCUACCCGAUCGCCUGCCCUACCUCCCUGCGGACCACCUCUAGUACCCUGGGAACCAUCUCCACAACCCUGUACACCAGCCCUACCUAACGAUGGCACUGAUCUAGUCGGCUGCACAUCCAGAACUAAUGGCUCAAUCAUCCUACACCGAGGACACUCACGGGAAAAAUAACCAACAACCCAAUAGAAAUAACAUACCCCGAGCACCCUACUCUGUGUAGAAGAUCUAGCAGGUCCGAAAUGACCACCCUUACUCAAAGAUGCUGACUUAGUACCCUACUACGACUGGCCGCUACUCUAACUACUAGAACCAAUAUAAUUGGGUGAUCCCUCACCUCUGGGUCGACCUAGUCCCCUAACCGAAACUAUUAAAGAAGAACUGGGAUUCUGAUAUCUGACUCCCGCUCCUCGCAUCCUAACUAUCUAUGUAAGGAGUGAACCAAUAAACAUUAAAAUAAACUCAGACCCAACACACGAAAAUGGAUCAAGAAAAUAAGAUUGUUCCCUAAAAAUGCUCUGUAGCCUCCCAAAGAUAGGAUACAGACGUCUCUGUGCUGAUCCGUAGGACUCUACUAAACAUUGGAUCUAGUACCAACAGUAUCGGUGAAACCUAAGCUCUGAUACCAAUUUGUCACGACCUUAUUUUUUAAAUUGUGAUGGCGCCUACCUUUCCCCCCUAGUAGGCAAGCUAAGCCAUAUCCCGAAAUAAUAGAUAACGGGCUAAUAGGAAGAAAUCAGAAAAGAUCGAGUAUAAUGAUAGUAGUAGUAAUAAAAAGUAACAAACAGAAAGUAACCAUAUCUCAUAUAAUAAAAUGAGGAAAAAAAUUACCAAAUACACAAAAGAAUCCCUCCCAAGACCUGGUAAGGUUGGUACUAGAGCCACUACUAAAAUAUACCCAGAGUACUAGACAAAAAUCUAAAAUGUACACAAUAUACAAAAGCAGUCUCGAGUACAAAAGACUAAAUCAGAGUAGAUAGAGAAGGAUCAACCUUGGAAGACAGUAAACUCACCCUGCUUUGAAUCAGUAUUGGAAGGUAGGAAUCACAUCAACGUCGAUUGCUAGGGCCUGGAUCUGCAUCAGGAAAAAGAUGCAGAAGUGUAAUAUGAGUACUAAAAACAACGGGUGCUCAGUAGGCAUCAUCGGCCGACUGAGCUCAAUACAGAAAAGGUAUAACUACAACACUAGGGCGUAAUCUGAGUCAUUAGUAAAAAGGGAUGGAAAGGUAAAUAACUACUAAGCAACGCCAAUGAGAUAGAGAAAUAAUUGUAAGUGAUACAGAAAAUAAAUAAUGCAGUAAUUACAGACAAAUCAAACAUAACCUAAAUGGCCCCCAUAAGCCCGCUAGACACACAACAUAACCUAACUGGGCCCCUAUAAGCCCAUUAGGCACACUGAAGAAGACAAUUAAUCCAACCGUACCCCCAUAAGCCGGUGUGACACACAAGUAGCAAUUAACGAAAGUAAACAUAAAUAAUUUGUAACCGAACUGAUCUCAAGAAAUAUUGAUAGUCAUCCAGAUGUGCACCGGACUUAAACCGGUACCAAUGUGUAGUAAUGAGAGGCCAGAUAUAUAGAACUCAUAAUCAGAUACCGGACUAAAAUCGGAACUCAGAGUAAUCACAAAUCAGAUGCCGGACUCGAACCAAAACUCAUAGUAACAAUAAUAGUCAAAUGCCAAACUCGAACGAAACUCAUAGUAACAAUAAUAAUCAGAUGCCGGACUCGAACCGGAACUCAUAGUAACCAUAAUAAUCAGAUGCCGGACUCAAAUCGAAACUCAUAGUAACCAUACCCAACGGUAAUAUUAAAAUUCAUAUCAUAUCAUAUCAUAACAAUGUUAACGUCUAAAUAAUCAUCCGCUAAUUUUAAUUAAAAAGGGAUAAAUUCAAGAUUUUUAUAUUUUAGUUUCACAUCCUAAAGUAAUAGAUGCUGUAUUAUAUUAAAAAAAAAUUCCAAUAUUUACUAGAACAGGGUCCUAAUCCGGAUAAAUAAGACAGUUUAUAUAAAUCUCAUGAUACGCAUCUACAAGCACAUAUCCAACGCUAGCAUAAUAGUUUACAAUUUCAGUAAAUAAACUCAAUCUAAAGGUAGGAUAAACCUAGCCUACCUGGACGCCAAAGCUAGAAUAUCUGUCUGCGAAAUCUCCGAAUAAUACUAGUAGAACCCAAGCUUGAAUAAUAGAUUCGAAUAAUUAAUUUAUAGGAAUUUUAUAAGACUAACCAAGAACUUUAAUUGAUUUUCUAAAAAAAAAGAAGCAAACCGAGAAAGGCCAAUAUAUGGGAAAAUAGAGAUAUGGACACUAUAUGUAUAGAAGCAAUGAAUGAAAGUCCACUCUUCUUAUUUGUUUUUACUUUUAGAAAGGGAAAAUGCUAUCAUAUGGUGGCCUAACAAGUGGCAGCAACAUGUGGUCCAUCCAUCCGUUUCUAAGUGUGCGGUGGUGGCCACAUUCAUUAAUUUUCUACACAGCAUAUAUAUAUUCGGCUAUUGCAUAAAUUCAUUAUAAGAUAAUUAUAAUAUUUUGAAUAUACCAUAAUUAAUAUAAAAUUAUUUCUAACAAAACCUCUAUUGUAUAAUAAUAAUAAUAUUUUCACAAUCCUAAAAUUACUAUCUCCAUUUAAAAUAUUAAUAAAUCAUAAAAGUCUAUUAUAAAGUGAUAUAAUUAUAUCAUUACUUAAAGAAUUUUACCAAUAUUGAAAAUAUUCUAGAAGAGUACUAAACUAUAUUUCUACCAAAUGCCAAGUUAAAUUAAAUAAUCCAUAAUAUAUUUAGAUAGUACUAAAAUUAUAUAAAAAUACAGUAAAAUGACCGUAAGGGUCAUUACAUAUCCGAAGAUUGCGACUUUAGAAACCUCCACUCGUACAUUGUAAUCGCAAAAUUAAAAAAUUAAAUUGAGCACUUUAGAAAAUAUAUAGAAUAUUUGAAUUUUGAGAAUUGAGAUUUGAGCGAGAAUGAGAUUUGAUAGAAUGAAAUUGUGUGAAAAAUGAUUUGAAAGUGUAGGGUAUUUAUAGAAUUUUUUUUGAAUUUAAAAAAAUAUUUUAAUUGAAUAUAUAUUUUUUUAAUUAAAAAGGGCAUAUAGCCGUUUUUGGGGCCCAAACGGUCAUAUAACCGUUUUUGGGGCACAAAUGGACAUAUAGCCGUUGGGCCCAAUGGCUAUAUUGGCUCAACGGUCCACUUUUCUAAUUUCCAUUUUUUUUUUAAAAAAAGGGGAUUCGGGCUGGGCCGAUUAACCGGCGGGCCUUGAUCGGUUUUGGUUCGGGACAGGUUAACCAGGCCCAAUUUUAAAAUUGGCCCAGCAUUGAACUCGGUACCCUACAGCUCAUGGGCUUACCGGGCCGAGUCAAACCGGGUAGGGUUUAUUAAAUGUGUCGAUUUGGGCCGGGUCAAACCGACCCGUUUAAUAGGCUUAAUACAAAUUACCUGAGGUCUGAGAGUCAUUAGCAGCAAUACAUAUGUCCUGUAGAGGGUUAUUAUCAUAAGCAUAAGCAGGGGAACAAAAGAAAGAAGUAAUAGCUAAAGUUAUUUCGAAACACCACAUACUUAUUGUUAUCAUAUGCUAAUUUUUGUUUGCUUUGGAUUUGUUAUGUUUUUUUUCCAAACAACCAAAAAGGAGUGACUACUUAUAGUACUCUCACAUAGGUCAAAAUAUAGGUGAAAAAACAAUACGUACUGAAAUUUUGCACGAGUCUAUUAGGUAAGGCUACUAUAGGGUGUUAAGAGUUCCACGUGAACCAAUUGAAAAUUGGGUUUUGUGGAACCCAUAGAUCACGAGCGGAGUAAAAUAUAUUAAAUAGAUUAGGUACAAUUUUGAUCAUUCUCCCUAAAAUAAACCAAUGAUUAUUACCUAUUCGUUUCGGAAUAAUUGAAUUGUUGGGAUAUUUAUUGGUGUUUCAAAAUAAAUAAAUCAUUGAAUUUUUUUUUCCAAAUUUGUCCUUAUAAUUUGACAACCAAUUAACUUUUGAAAAAGUAUUACAAGGUCAACUUUUUUUUUUGGGUAAAAAUGAAAAGUUAUGUUAAAUUUAUAUUUUUAAUGUUUUUUUUCUUAAUAUGUGUGUCAAGAUUCAACAAUUCAUUUAUUAUAAAACGGAGGAAUUACUUUGCACCAUCUUAGCAUAUUUGUUUCAUCCAUCCUCAUGUCACCCACUUGAGAAUGUCUUUUUCUGCCAAAUCUCAUUAUCGGUUAAGGCAAAAUCUUUAAACCCCAUGAGUCCCACCCUUAAAUUUGGCUCAUAGCGCUGACCUCUCUAUCAUUUGAGGUACUACGUUGACCUCCCUUAUAUUGAUAUUUUAUAGCCAAAUUAAUUUAAAUGAUAAAUUGUCUAUAUAUCGUAACACUACCCUUGUCAUCUUUAGUUUUGAAGCAAAUAUAAACCUCCUUUUCUCAAUGUGGGACCCAAUAAACAAAUCAAAAUAAAAGAAAAAAAUUAGAGAAGCAAAUAAUGGUACCAAAGAGAGAAAGUAGGCGCCAAGUGCAAGUUGAAUGCAAUUUGCUUACAAAGUGCUUGUUAUAUUUUAGUUAUGAUUGAUUGGAGAAAGGAAUCUUUCCUAUAAAUAGAGGAGACGUCCCUCGCACAGAGAUAGGCAACAGAGAGCAGAAAGAGAGAGAAUCUAUGGAGAGAAUGACAUAACGUCACCCUAACUUAUUCGACUUUUGUAAAAAGAUGUUUACACUAUGCGGGCAUCCUAUGUCCCUCUUAAACGAUUGUGAAUUGUUAUUAUUACAUCAUUUUUGGAUCAAUUCCAAUUUUUAUAAGUGAUAAACAUCCACCAAUUAUUGAUUGCCACAUGUUUAUUAAAUAAUAUAUAUAUAUAUAUCCUUUAAAUUUUUCUCUUUUUGUUCACUAGAUAAAAUAGAUAAUUUUUAAUUAAUGGCAAAUCAUCGGCGAAUGCUGCCAAUGGCAAAACAAAAUUGUCAAAACGUCGAUCAAAUUUCGACGAGAUUUGUGGUGAUUACACCACUGGGGUUUGUUCGUGAUCCUCAGAUGUACCGCCCCAAGGAAUUUCAGUCGAUCCUAUCGACAAAAACUCCGGCGAACUACUGUCUCUGGUUGUCGACGAAGCUACAGUGGGGCUGAUGGAGGGGGACCACUGCCAAAAUAGGCGCAGAAUCACUGCGAGCAAACCCGACCAAGAAAAAAUGGUGACUAACAUACCAUCUCUUUUUACUUUUUUUUAAAUCUUUUUAUCAUUUUUAUUGAAAAAUAAACCUCGAUCAUGAUUAUAUCCACCAACAUCACAUUAAUGGAGAAGAAGAGGAAGGGAAAAAUAAGACUCCAAAGGAAAAAAUGCAAGUACAAAUUCCCCUAAUAAGCAAAAUAAAGCAUAAUCAACUGAGUGAUACUAAGAAAAAUAUGAAUAUUUCGUUCAAUUCAACAAUAAAAGAUAUAACUAAAUUCAUUUACAAUUACACAUCAUGUCAUAGUCAGUAGAAAUCCUAUUAACUUAUUAAUGUAUUCUAUUAGAAAUCCAAGUAGAAUGGAACUGAAUUUGAAAUCAAACUAGUAUUCUAGAAAUUGUUAUAAGAAAUCUCAAAUUGCUGCAAUUUUGAGUAAUUUCCAAACUCCUAGUAUUUUUGACCUUGAAAGAAAUUAUGUUUUCAGCAUAUAUAGUUCAAUCUAACAUGAUUUGAUGGUAAAACGAAGUUUGCUGGCUAACCACUUCGAUAUUUUCAUCAUAUAUACCUCAAUCAUCUAUAUUGUUCUUCAAUUUAUCUAUAGGUUUUGUAUAUGUCUGUCCUUUCAUUCCCUCAGUUCUGACUCUUAGGUAAAGAAAAAUUACACUUAAUAAAAGGUGCAUGUUGGUUGAAAUACUUGGUGAAAUACCAGAUGCCAAAUCAUAUUCUUUCUAGAGAAGCUACUCAAGCUUCAAUGUAUGUACGUAUUUAUUAGUUGAAUACAAUGACAAACAUUAUUGUUUCCAAUUUAGAUGUUUUCAGUUUCUUAAUCGCAGUCGUGUUCCUUUGGAAGUAGCUCCUUGUUUUUUCUGCUAAUUUUCAAGAAUGAAAGGAAAUAAAGUGAUAGUUGAAACCUUGUUAAAGUACUGAGACAGUAAUAAACACCUCCCUAUUUAAUCUACAAUUUUCAGUUUUGCUGAUUUUAUGAUACUACGUGACGAAAAAAAUAAAAUAGCAAAUUCUUAUGAUGAAAGUGGUUCUUUUUUAACGCAUCUAAGGAAGAGAUAAAAGAUCGAACAUAAGUACGUCUACAUCAUCUGGCAUUUCAAAACUAACAUACGUCUACAUCAUCUGGUAUUUCAAAACUAACAUUCCUAUAAGGGGCUCGUUUGCCAUGAUGCGUGCUCCUAAAAUCUAAGUUAAACACAUUGGAAAUGUUAUAAACCAGAGAGAAAAUAAGGAACAUAAUAUAAGAUGUUCCCUGGACCUUGAGAUCUUUAUAAAACUAUUGCUUCUGUUGAGAAGUGACUUAGUGGAUUUAAAACAGAAUAAGUGCAUUGCACAUACUCUUACUCUACAUUCUCAACCAUACAAGUUAAAUUAUGCAGAUUCGUUCAGGAAAAUUUCCAUCAGUCAUGUCCAUUAAGGUACGCGACUUUCAAGAUUGAGGAAGAUGCCCCAAGACUGUUUCAAGCAGGUCUGCAUGAAUAUCUUGGCCUGUACAACGCGCAGACUUCCAUACAUCAAGACAAUCAGUGGGGAGUAACUGUUCUUUCUGUUUCAGCCAGUAAAUUAGUAGCUAUACCAUCAGGUCCCGACUGACACCAUUCAAACAAGCAUAGGAGACCUCAAGACCAUGAUGUGAGAGCAAAAAGUGAAUGAAAAUUUAUUGUAUAGGAAAUAUUGAGGACUUUACCAUGAAGACAUCUUAGGAGUGACUUUGAAAAAUCAGUUUCAAACUCAUAACAAGACUUUAUCAAUUCCGACCUCAAUGGGCUUGUCUAGAAAGAACUUUUAUUGAGUGUUUUCCUAUGGAAUUGACAAAGUUGGAUGGUUUUUCAAAACAUAGUUAUUUCAAUUUAGUUGUUCAAGUUCUAAAAUCAGCAGUAUUUUAUACAUAUGUUUUUCAUUUUACCCUUAAUAGGAAUACUAGCAUCCACUGUUUUCAAAACUAUGGAAUGACCUAUAAGUGAUCUCAAUUCUCAAAACCAAAAUUAAAUUAUUAUUAUUAAUUUUAAUUAUAAAUACUCAAUAUCUAGACUUAUGGGAUGGAGUAAUAUGUACCAAAUUUCAAUGUUUAAUCAUUGCAUUGAUUAUUGCACUUUAAAAGACAUACAAGGGUAAUAUGUAAAAUACAUAUCUAUUUAUUGAUUUAUUAAUGGGUGUGCCAGUCCAUAGAGACCAACUGAUACGAAACGGAGGGAGUACUCCAUUCGUUUAUUUUUAUUUGUCACUAUUUCACUUUUUGAUGUCAGCAUGUAUGAAAUUUGAAUAAUUUAAUAUUUAAAAUUUAAAAUUUAGAUUGUCGAAUACUAUACGAAAAAGUUAUAAGUUGCAAUUCUUCUUAUAUUAAUAUGAUGAAAAAGUACAUUCUGAAAUGAUGAUCAAAAUUCAUGCAGAUUGACCUGAAGAAGCAAAAUAUUAACAAGUAAAGCUGAAUAGAAGAAGUAUUAUGAAUUGCUUAUUAUGAUAGAUUUCAAAAGUGUAAUUACCAAAUAAAUAUUAUGACUAGUUUCUAGGGGCUUUGAGCUAUAGGUGACUAAAAAGUUUGAAAAUGAGGUGUAGGUGAUCAAGUCUUAAUAAUUGAGUGUGGGUGACAAUUACUUCAUUAUGUAGUAAGAAAGUUGAAGAAAUUUAAAAAUAACCCACAAGUUUUUAAAUUUACACUUUAAUCUAAAUUUUAGUUAAUAUAACGGAAAACGGAGGAAAUAAAGGUGUGUUUCUCUAUCUUCUCUUCUAUUGUUGUUUUCUCUCUCUUCGUGAUUUUUAUUGUUCAUUGUUGUUGUUGCUUUAUUCAUCAUCUUUCUACUUUAUAAUCAUCAUCAUCUUCUUCUUGUCGGCUAUUGUUGUUGUUUUUUCCACUGUACCUGACAAAUUUUCUAGGUGAAAAUUUAUUUUGUACAUCACUUUGCACUUUGGUAUUACUUCAUAGGUGACUUUGGUAAGGAAAUGAUACAAGAUAGACCAAGAACACACAAAACACACACUCAAAACAAUCCACAAGUUCAAGAGAACCGAGGACCCUUUGAGUGAUCCCUCUCGAAUUCAAGAUCUACAACAAGAACACAAUGUAAUGAGGUGAUUAACACCUAUUUUCAGCGGACAACAAACUAGAUUAAUAACACAAGAAUAAAGAACAAGAAGAACAAUAACAAUAUUAAUAAGAACAACAAACACAUGACUACAAAAAACAAAGGAAUAAAUAGAUAGAAUACACAAAGAUGUAAUCUUAAGAACCCAAGAGCUUAUUCCACUCUUGGAACCUUAACACUAUGCACAAUGAUUCACCUAUAUCUUACGUUAAAACAAGAGGGAUCUCAAUCUCCCAAACAUCCAACGUUUCCAAGCUUGAAUCCAACAUGAGUGAUUUCACACUCAAGUUGAUUUCCCUAGCUGCUAUGUUUCGGCCAAGAGGCCAUUCUCUCAAGAGAGGGUGUUGCAGUGUUACAACUUUCAAUAUUCAAUAAAAACCAAGUAGUAAAUGACCUGACAUAUUCUAUUUAUAGUAGGUCACAAAAAUAGUAUGAAAUGUCCAAAAGACCCCUUAGUCAAAUGCUUUACUUUAGGUGUCCUUGGAGUGCAGAACAUGGAUUGUUUUUGGAGCCUAUUUAGGCCCUCCUUUUCACUUCAUUUGAACACUCCAAGUCUCUGGUUCAAUACAUCUCACAUAUGUCCACCUUCGUGGUUGUACUCGUAUCAGCCCCCCUUCUUAAAAAGGAUUCGACCUCAAAUCCAUACCUUGCAAAAUCAGAAAGGAAACAAACAAGCACAUAUCCUCAUAGCAUGAGGGUUAGAGUUAGCAAAAUAAACAAUUAGCAUUAUCGUUCCACAGUGGUACACACUUAAAGUACAACCAAGGAUCCUUUGAUACGAGUCAAAUGGUCACCUUAGCUUUUGAUGACAUCAUUUGAAGUCAGUACGUGGGGCAUCAAUCUUUGGUCGCAUUGAGGACAUGGGAUCCUACAUGGAGGGGCUGAUUUGAGUACACCAAAGAGCAAUCCCACAUGUGGAAGAUUGCUUGGACCAUUAAAAAUUGAGGACUCAUGAUUUUGGGCCUUCAUUAAGGGCAGUUUAUUCACUUAGCCUUGUCCAAGUAACACUCCAUGACCACUCCUUUUUACUAAGGGUAUUCUGGUUAUUUUGUUAUGUAACAAGUUAGACUAUAAAUAGGUUUUAUUAGUUCAUUUGCUAGUUAGUUUUGAAUGAUACAAGAUUGAAAUACUUGAAAAUCCUCUCUCUUGAGAGUAGACCACCUUAGUAUAGUCUUAGUUAGGACUUGAAAAUUUCAUCCUUAGUAUAGGUCUUGGAAAAGCCAAUAUUGUUCUUUGCUUGGAAAUGGUGGAUCUUGAGGUGAGUCGAUUGCCUUGGCGGUCACCGUAAGAGUGUGGUUUUAAUUAUUACAUUCAUUAGGGGUUAGUGUUGAAAUACACUUGGUUCUUAAUCUUGUAAUAAUCUUGGUCUCACUAUCUAUUUUUAUUUUCUAUGCAAUUUACCUUGUGUUUGUGUUGAAUCCGUGUCUUGUUUCAUCUUGUGUCAUUGUUAUAAUCUUCAUCUCCUCUCUUUAGUUAUAAUUUCUAUUUCUAGAUUUGUUUUCCAUAUCAUUUGGUAGAAGAGCAUGGAUUGAUCUUGUUCCUACAAGAUCAAUCUUGGGCUUGCUUGUUAGAAAGUUAAAAAAAAGUGUUAAAAACUGAAAAUUCUAGAAAUAUAGCAAUCUGUCCGUGUUUGUGUUCUUGGCCAAAAUUGUGUUCUUGUUAUGUCUUGGCUGAGAUUUGUUUGUUGUGUGACUAGAUCUAGUAGUGUUCUUAUUUAUUUUUUUGUUUCUAGUGUUAGUUUUCUUGUCCACUAACAUUUUGAGUCUAGAUCUAAACUUGAGCUUGAACUUGUUAAAAGUUGUUGUUGUGAAUAUAGGCUUGGCCCAUUGUUGUUGACCAUUGUUGUGGUGGACUGUUUUGGCCGUGCGGUUUCUCCUUGAUGUUCUAAACUUGACCACAUGAUAUUGUUGUUACUUGGUUUCUUGAGAACCAUUUUGUUGAAGUUGUAGUUGUCUUGGUCAAGUGUUAGAGAUAUUGUUAUUAUGGAUUGGAGUUGGCCGUUGGAAUUGUUGUUGCUCUUGAAGAUUGUUGUUAUUGUUCUUGGCGUGGUUGUUGUUGUUCUUGAAAUUCUUCACCUUCCUUCAUAUAUUGUUAGAACAUAAAGUGAAUGCUAGAUCCUAAAAGGUGAAGGAAAAAUGUGUAUGUACUUGUUAGUAUUGAAAGAUCCCCAACCACCAAAAGACUUUAUAUCACUUCUCAACCACCUUUUCAUGAUUUAAGGACCCAUGUUUUAAGGAGAAGCACAAGAAAAAGUCAAGUCUUGAAAAUUGAAAAAGGCCGCAAGACUUAUUUUCCCUCCUAAAACAAAUUCCACCAACCCAAAUUAAUUUUUGACCAAGACUUGAACAUUUGAGAAUAACCACUUGAUAAAACCGAACCAAUACGUGGCUGCCACAUCAUCACUGCUACUGUUCACACAAUAUUUUCGAGCUCAAAAUUUUAGAUUCUUAGUUUUAUUUUUAUUGUCCCUUAGUUUUGUUGUUGGUUCUAAUACUAAUUAGCAACUAGUAAUCACCUACUUAGUUGUAGAUUAGUUGUUGAGUCUGUUUCUUUCGUGUCUUCGUUAUUUAUGUGCUUUUCUUAUUUUUAACUCAUCGUAACUUCUUUGUUUCAAGUUCGUAAGUAGAGUUUGUUUUGUGUCUUGUGUCGAUCAAACAAGAAUCUAUUCUGGCCGCCAAGUAGAAUUGACAUCUUAUUGACUACUGGAGUAUAAGCAACUUUUAAUAUUCGCGGCUCUAAAUUGUGAGGAUCACAAAAGUGAGUGAAUACGAGUGUUGGUGAGGAGCUUUUACUACUAAUCUUGUUUGUUCAUUUUGUAGGUUUAAAAGGUAAUAUAAGGGGAACAUGUCUUUGAUAGCCGGGGAUUAUUGUGACUACAACAUGAGAGACUAUGAUUGUAGUGAGGGGUUUUAUGNNNNNNNNNNNNNNNNNNNNNNNNNNNNNNNNNNNNNNNNNNNNNNNNNNNNNNNNNNNNNNNNNNNNNNNNNNNNNNNNNNNNNNNNNNNNNNNNNNNNNNNNNNNNNNNNNNNNNNNNNNNNNNNNNNNNNNNNNNNNNNNNNNNNNNNNNNNNNNNNNNNNNNNNNNNNUUUACAAUUCUCACUCCGAACUAAGAUUUGGUGUUAGGUAUAACUCUUUAGUUCGCAAAGCUUAUGAGAGCUAUGAUAAGAGUACACGGGAGGAGUGUGAAGAUUCAUAUUCUCCACCUUGUAUUACUUCUUAUCAAGAUCGAUAUAGUAUGAAUAGUUAUACUAGCUCUAGUGGAGGUUGUCCAACGAGAAGAAGAGGGUAUGCAUCUCCAAAAUGAGGGGUACUUGUAUGCUUUAUAAUGUUGAUCCGAGAAGGAGUGUACACUUCGAAAAGGUGACCAUUUAUGGGAUACCGGGCUGCCUCGUUGUAUUAAAUGAUAGGUACUAUAGUAACUACAUCAUUCCAUCCAUGGUUGACGACUUGGGGUUGUUUUAUGAGCCUUUACUUGUUCCAUACUUCUUGGACGGGUUUAAGGUUACCGAGAGGGUCAAGGUUGUCUUCUCCCAGUUUGAAUACCAUGAAGAGAUGUGGUACGAUAUUCUUCUAUUGACAUAUGGUCAUGUAUGCUUAGGUGCCGAUUGGUUUGCACAACAUAGAGUUCCAAACGUGCAAAAUUGGCCAAAUAUUGUAAGAGACCAAUGGAGGAAUCGCCUCAUGACUUACUUAAUGCCCAAGCCAUGAAGAGAAAUUCCUACCUACUCCAAUCCGAAUUAUUAUGAGAGACAAAAGAUUGAGAGGAGUAAGGGAGUGCAAGGUGGUAAUCUGAGAGUGGAAAAAAGAGAGGUUGUGUGGAGCGAAGUGAGAGGAUUACCACCAAACCAUGCUAACAUUGGUUGUCCUUCUAUUUCUAAGUACAUUUGUGUAGGUACCAACAUGACAAUCGAAGGUGAACAAUGCUGAAAGGUAGUUGCUGCCCAAACUUGUGGAGGACCUUCACACCAUUACAAAAAAGAAUCUACUUAAGGACUUCAAGGUAAAAUAUCUAAACUCUUACAUUUUCGUGCAUGUGAAUGAUAAUUGUGUGGCUAGUAGCCCAUUGAGUGUGAGUUGUAGCUUGCCUAUAGAUGGGUCUAUUUUUUCUUUUCCACUUAAUGAUGAUGUAAGUGUUGUGAGUGUGGAUACACUAGUUGAUCCCAUUGAUGACCGAAUCAAAUUUUCUUGUAAGAUCGAUUUAUGUCCACCUAGUGUUGAAACCAUUAUGUUGAAUGAAAGUACAUUAUCUUCUGAAAUUGGUAUUGAUCAACUUAUGUGUGAAAAUUACCCACCACUUAAGUAUGUGUAUGAUGUGAUUAAUGAACCUUAAGUGUGUGAUGAUGUUGAAAAUGUUGAUCAAAGGAAUAUGAGUGAACCCGAGAGCUAUUCUAGGGAUAAUCUUGCACUUGAAAUCUCUUUGAAACUUGAUAUUGAUCUUUUAGAGAGUGAUGAAUAUGUUUGUUCCGAAUUUGUCCGUGAAAUAGAUCAUACUCUCUUUAGGUAUAAUGUCUUGUUUGAAGAUGAUACAACCACUCCUAAUGAACCUAGAGGUAAAAAUAAUGGUAUAGCUUGCCUUAGAAGCUAUAGCCGAUAUGCUAACCCACUAUGGUGUGGCAACAUUCCUCCUAAAGAUGGAAAUCUCUUCUUGUAAGAUGAGAUACUCUUAAGGGUAAGGGAUGUGUGUUCUUGGAAACUAAAUCUCCUUCUACUUUAUGUGACUUUAUUGUUGAGACUAGUCAUGGUGAUGAUUGUGAAACUAGUAGUGAGUGCACAUAUGAGGGCACCUUAGUAGAAGUCGACUUGAGUGAUACAUUUCUCUACUCUUUACUUGCUUUGGAUAACAUGUAUGCUAUUGUUGAGAGUAUUCCGUUUAGUUUGGGUGGAGACCACGGGAAAUGGGAGUAUUGUCUAGACCCGUGUCUAUGGCCACUCUUCUCGUUUGACCCCAAUGCCAAAUAUAUACUUGAUGAUGAUGGUGCACCCCACUUGUUGCUUGGUUUACAUUACAAGCAAAGUAUCACUUUUGGUGAAUUCCAUACCCAAAUCCUUUGUGCAUUUUUCAUUAAUUAUUUAAUAUUUAGUUCAAAGGAUCCUUGGUUAUAUUCUAAAUAUGUGCAACCUUGGCAUGUUAAGGUGAUUUGUCAUGCUAACCCUAACCCUCAUGCUAUGAGGGUUUGUAUUUGUGUGUCAUUUCUUUGGUUUUGCAAGGUUUGGAUUUGAGGUCGAAUCCUUUUCAAGAAGGGGAGGAUGAUAUGAGUCAAAUGGCCACCUUAGCUUUCGAUGACAUCAUUCGAAGUCAGUACAUGGGGUAUCAAGCUUUGGUCGCAUUGAGGACACGGGAUCCUACAUGGAGGGGCCGAUUUGAGUACACUAAAGAGCAAUUCCAUAUGUGGAAGAUUGCUUGGAGCAUUGAAAAUUGAGGACUCACAGUUUUGGGCCUUCAUUAAGGGCAUUUUUUUCACUUAGCCUUGUCCAAGUAACUCUCCAUGAGCACCCCUUUUCAUUAAGGGUAUUAUGGUUGUUUUGUUAUGUAAUAAGUUAGACUAUAAAUAGGUUCGAUUAGUUCAUUUGCUAGUUAGUUUUGAAUGAUGAAAGAUUGAAACACUUGAAAAUCCUCUCUCUUUAGAUUAGACCACCUUAGUAUAGUCUUAUUUAGGACUUGGAAAAGUCAUCCUUAGUAUAGGGCUUGGAAAAACCAAUUUUGUUCUUUGCUUGGAAACGGUGGAUCUUGAGGUGAGCAGAUUACCUUGGCGGUCACCGUAAGAGUGUGGGUUUGGGUAUUACAUUCAUUAGGGGUUAUUGUUGAAAUACACUUGGUUCUUAAUCUUGUAAUGAUCUUGGUCUCACUAUCUUUAUUUUCUAUGCAAUUUCCCUUGUGUUUGUGUUGAAUCCAUGUCUUGUUUCAUCUUGUGUCAUUGUUAUCAUCUUCAUAUCCUCUCUUUAGUAAUAAUUUCGUUUUCUUGCUUUGUUUUCCAUAUUAUCCGUUGUGUUAAUUAUGAAAAGCCUUUGUACAACAUCACAAAGGAAAGGGCUCGGAUGGACAUCAAGAAAUAAGGAACAAAAAUUGAAACUACGCCUCUCAUAUGAUGUAUAUCCAACAACACCAUGAAUAUCAUCAUAUGCAUAUAGGUAGUGAAGAAAGGCACCAAAGACACAAUUCUCAUCCAAGAUGUAUUCACAAGUAGGAACACACAAAGAGAUAAAGGGACAUUGUAAGCAUGUAGGACCUCUCUUUUUCCAACCACUUCCCGAGGGAAGGCAUUCCAUCAAGGGAAUUAUACCAAUAGGGAGAAUGGGGAAACUACCAUGCAACAAUCCAAUCCAAGACAAAUAGUUUGCCCAAGAACUCAGUUUCCCUCUAUAAAUGAUGUUAAGCACGCUCCCAAGAGUCCCACAAGAUAUUUCAAUUUAUCGAACCCCAUGAAGGUGACAAGAAGCCUUUAACAUUCUUGGACCCUUCCACAAACAAGAAUACUACUUGACAUCAACAAGUUGUGGUUCACAUAACUUAAGUACAUGUGUGUCAAACAUGGAUGCACGGAUAUGAGCAACACCCCAAAGAGACAAUGACACAUUUUCCCCAAGGUCCUCGAGUAGACACAAACCACCAUUAACAUCAAAGGUAUAAUAAUUUAAGUCACCAUAUUUGUCAAGAACUGGUGGGGUGUCAUGAAAAAAAGUACAAGAAAAAUUAUUUUUCUAGGAAUAAUCACAAUUCGUGUUUCCCAAGUAAUCAAGAAAACCAUGGUCAUCUUCACCCGACUGACUAUUCCUUUCCAAGACUACACAUUCCCUACCCUUAAGAGUACUCUCAUCUUCCAAGAAGUGAUUUCCAUCUCGAGGAGGAAUAUUGUACACCAUAGUGGGUUAACGUAUAGGCUAUAGCUUCCAAGACAAGACAUGCCGUCAACUUCACUUGCACCACUAGGUUCAUUAAGAGUGAUUAGACUAUCUCCAAAUAAGAUAUUGUACCUAAAGAGUGAAUGAUCUAACCCGCAGACAGAUUUAGAACUUUCAAUCUCUUAGGAAUCAUUAUCAAGUUUCAAAGAUAUGUCAAGAACAUGAUUAACCCUAUAAGCCGAGCAAACAUUAGAAUCUUUACAACAACAUAGGCUCACGAGUUCACUCCCUUUUCCUUGACCAACAUCUUCAAUUUCUUCACUCAUUUGGGAUUCAUUAGUCACGUCAUACAUAUUCUCAAGUAGUGAUCAAGUUUUACACAUAAGUUGGUUAGCACAAUUUUCACACGACGAUGUACUUUCAUUCAACUCAAUAGCUUCAACACUAGGUGGACACAAAUCGAUCUUACUAGAAGAGUAGAUUAGGUCAUCUAUAGGAUCAACUAGUAGGUAAGAUACUACUCACACUCAAUGGCUUAUUAUUCACAUGUUCAUCAUUCAUAUGAAACAAAGUGUAAGAGUUAGCUAUUUUACCUUGACAUUCAUGAGUAUGUUCGUCUUUACCUCGAUGUGAAAGUCCUUCACAAGUUUGAGGAGCAACUUUCUUCGGGAAUCUCUCACCGUAAGGUCUUUAGAUUUUAGGUUUUGAAUUUAUUGGGAUAAGUGUGGAUACCAAUUGGCGUAGCUUUUCAAUGUGCCAUUUUAUGUCUUCAAUAUUGUCAGUGAUGCGGUCAAAUAUGGAAUCGAUAUUGGUGGCAGCCAUGGAACCUAAAAGAAAAGACAACAACGAACAACAAAACAUACAAACUUGUUAGCUCAAAAAUGCCUCACCACACUCUCACUCUCAAUUUUUACCUCACACUUGGUUUCACAAGUGUUGAAAGUUGUCUUGUACUUCGCCAGUGAUUGAGGGUCGAGUCUACUCUUCCCCAAAAAGAUUUUCGUUUGAGUUGACUCAAAGAAAAUUUAUUUAUGGACUUGAACCAACAAGAUAUAAUGAAUUCACAAAAGAGAAAAGUACAUAACAAACGCUUAACAUGAAUGAACGAACACAAAGACUAACUAACAAUCCAGUAGAUGAGUACUAGUUUGCCAAUUAGUAUUGGAACCAACGAAAUUGAAACUAAGGAACAACAAAAUAAAACUAAGAAAUCUGAAAUUCGAGCUUAAAUAUGUUGUGUGAAUAGUAAAAUGUGAUGACGUAGCAGCCACGUAUUGGUCUUGGUGCCACACAACUUUUGUUGUCCAAUUUUAAGUCUUGGUCAAUUUUUCAAUUUGGAAUUUGGUGGAAUUUGUUUAAGGAGGGAAAUUUAAACAAGUCUUGGAGCCCUUUUCAAUUUCAAGUUUUCAAGAUUUGACUUUCUUGUACUUCUCCUGAAAACGUGGAUCCUUAAAUCAUGAAAAAGUGUUGCAAAGUGGUUGAGACUUGAUUGAUAGGUCUUUGUUGGUUGUAGUGUCUUUCAAGAUUAACAAAUAAUACACCCUUUUGCUUCAAAUUUUGGAUUUAGCAUUCAAUUUAUCUUCAAUAAUAUAUGAAGGUGGUGAUGAACAUCAUCAUCAACAACAACAACACUAAGAACUACAACAAUAAUCUUCAAGAACACCAACAAUUUUCACACGGCCACUCCCAAAUUCCACAAUAACAAUAUCUCCAACACUUGGCCAAGACAACUACACCUUCAACAAAAUAUUUCUCAAUCCACCAAUUAACAACAAUAUCACGUGGUUAAGCUUAGAACAUCAAGGAGAAACCACACCGCCAAAAUAGUCCACCACAAUAAUGUUCAACAACAAUGGGCCAAGCUUAUGUUCAUAACAACAACAUCAAAAUACAAGCUCAAAUCAAGAUAUAGACUCAAUUUGUUAGUGAGGAACAAAACUAACACUUAGAUACAACAAAUACAAGUAAAAAUCUCGAUCAAGAUAUAAGAAAAAUACAAUUUUCGGACAAGAACACAAAAUGGACAGAUUGCUCUCUUUUCUAGAAUUUUUAGUUUUCAACUUUUUUUUUUCAACUCUCAAGCCCAAGAUUGAUCUUGUUAGAACAAAAUAAAAGAUGGAUAUGAUACCAAAUGAUACAAGAUAGACCGAUAACACAUAAAACAUACACUCAAAAUAGUCCACAAGUUCAAGAGAACCGAGGACCCUUUGAGUGACCCCUCUCGGAUUCAAGAUCUACAAUAAGAACACAAUAUAAUGAGGUGAUUAACACCUAUUUUUAGUAGACAACAAAAUAGAUUAACAGCACAAGAAUGAAGAAUACGAAGAACAAUAACAAUAUUAUUAAGAACAACAAACACACGGCUACAAGAAAUAAAGGGAUAGAUAGAUAGACUACACAAAGAUGUAAUCUUAAGAACCCAAGAGUACGACUGUGCAAAUUUCAGUUCAAACCGUUAACCCAAACCAAUAAUUUCUUUGUUGGGUUAACGGGUCAUUUUUUUCAAUAUCGGGUCGGGUGUUGGUUUAUUGUUGGGAUAGGUCAGGCAAAUUCCUCUAGUGGAAGGAAUAUGCCCAUAGAGAAAAAGCCAAUUAGUAAGUAAGAUCGAAAGAGUAGGGACAGACUUUUGCAUCAAUCCUAGCCAGGGAAAUCCCCGAAUCGAAGGAAGAGUAAGCGAAAGGCUGCACACAUUAGGGCCAUUACCCGUCUACUGGCCCAAAACUCUAAAGGGCCAAAUGCCCAAUUCCCAAACCCGUACUUAGAGACUUAGGGUUUCAAAUUUUAUCAUUUUUCAAUUUUCACGUCUGUCUCCCUCACUCACUCUCAAAGACCGCCUUAGACUAUCUCUUAUUAUUCAUAAUCUUUGCUCAAUUCUUGCUGAAAACUCAGUAUUCAAAGUCUAUUUUUGCUGAAAACUCUGUAUUCAAGCUCUAUUUUGCUGAAAACUGAAGAGACCCAAGACGAUUUUUACUUUUGCUCUCAAUAGUCUAUAGGUAAAAAUUUUUGUUUUUGCUCGAUUUCAUUCCUAGAAGUCUUCUGCUAAUCUUCUUCAUCUUUAAUUUCUGUCCAAAGCAUUGUAGUAGUAAUUAAUUUGUAAGAUAGAACCAAAGCAUCAUAAGAAAAACUUUUGUUUCCCCAACCUUGCUAUAAUAUGAGUUGACCAAAUUAAAAAUAUAAAAUUUGAAGGAUUGAAUGAAAAUGAACUUUCAGAAGUUAAAUAUUUUGUACAAAUAAAAUAAUGUUGGUAUCAAUUCCUGUAUGUGACAAUAUAGAAUACUCUUCUACACUCUCUUGCUUCAAUCUUCCCACUUUCUGUAUUUUUAAAAUAUACUAUUUUCCUAUUCUAUUUGUGCUAGACCAGUAGACACUAGACAAUUUUAAAUUCGUGAAUUGUGACUUUAGUUUGAAUGUUUUGUUACUUUGUAUUAUAUUUGUGGAUUUGUGCUUAGAAAGUGCAAUAAGCAUUACACAGUAGGCACUAGGCAUUGACUGAAAUUUAUUGUGACGCACUAAGCAGUAAGCACUAAGAAGUAUUCUGCCAGUCUGAAGUAGCUUACUUACUAACUUAGGACUUUAAAUUAUAUAUGUUCAAUGUUAAUGGUUAACCCAAUAACCGAACUGAUAACAAUGAAAAAUCGAUAAACCGAUAACUGAUUAACCUAUAUAUUAAUGGUUCUUUAACGAUUUAGCAUAUACAUAAACUGAUAAUGAAUAAGUAAAACUGAUAAUUUUCAAAACCAUCAAACCGGCUUAUAUGCAGCCCUACCCAAGAGCCUAUUCCACUCUUGGACCCUUAACACCACAUACAAUGAUUCACCUAUCUCUUACAUUGAAACAAGAGGGAUCUCAAACUCUCAAUCAUCCAACGUUUCCAAGCUUGAAUCCAACACGAGUGAUUCCACACUCAAGUUGAUUUCCCUAGUUACUAUGUUUCGGCCAAGAGGCCAUUCUCUCAAGAGAGGGUGUUGCAAUGUUACAACUCUCAAUAUUCAAUCAAAACUAAGUAGUAAAUGACCUAACAUAUUCUAUUUAUAGUAGGUCUUAAAAAAUAGUGUGAAAUACCCAAAAGACCCCUUAGUCAAAUGCUUCACUUUAGGCAUCCCUGGAUUGUAGAAUGUGGAUUGUUUGUGGAGCCUAUUUAGGCCCUCCUUUGCACUUCAUUUGAACACUCCAAGUCUCGACUUCAAUACAUCUCACAUAUUUCCACCUUUGUGGUCAUACUCGUAUUGGUAAAAUUAUGAUUUUUAGUUAAAUUUGUCAUCUGGGUACACUGCUACUGCUAUUUUUUCAACAAUGGAUAGAACUUGUUCAUGAAUACAGCAUAAGAGCCGACAAUUUAAACCGAUCACUCAGUCUGUUGCAACAGAAACAUAUUUUGAUGCAACAAAAGACUCAUAUGUUGGAUUCAUGUUUACAGUUCUUAUGCCCGUAACAUGAAUCAAACGGAUGGUUAAUCUAUUGCAAUGGACGUCUUAUCUGUUGCAAUAGAUAAUUAUUCUAUUGUAACAGAUAAAUAUCUUUUGCAACAGACGAGAAACCUAUUGCAACAAAAUAUUUAUCUUUUGCAACAGAUUAUUUAUCUGGUGCAACAGAUGAUUAUUCUGUCACAACACAGUUCUUGCCACAAACCCAACAGAUAACCCAUAUGUUUAACUCUUGUUAUUGAUACUGGAUUCACAUUAUUUCUUAACCGUCGACAUGUUUGUUGAGCAAAAGAAAUAGACAAAAUGAAAAUUAAAUAAGAAUUAAAACUUUAAAGUCGAUCAAACAUAAAUUUUUUAAUAAACAAAAACAAAUAAAAAUACAUAGGCUAAAGAAAAUUGCCUUCACGAGGUAGGGGAUUAAGGUCUGAGGUCUGGGGAUACACUAACCUCCCAAGAUCCCAGUUGUGAGAUUAUAUUAUACUAGGUAUGUUGUAGUUUUUAUUUUUGUGUUUUUAUUUGAUCAACUUUAAUACUUUACUAACUGCUUAAUUAAAAUGAUCUAACAGAGGUAUUUACUUGAGUAUUAAUGUAUGCAUUGGGUCAAGUUUUUAGUUUCAACUCUUGCUAUUUCUACUGGAUUCAAAUUAUUCCUUAGUCAUCGAUAUAUUUGUUGAGAAGAAGAAAUAGACAGAAUAAAAAAUAAAUAAGAAUUAAAACGUCAAAAUCGAUCAAACAGAGUUUUUUUACUAAACAAAAACAAAUAAAAAUACAUAGGCUAAGAAGAGAAAAAAAUAAUCUAAUUAUUAUUGUCAUCAUUAUUUCCAUCUGGCCAAUCCUCAACCGGCAUCAGUAGUGCCCUCCUCAGCCUCCGGAUCUCCCCGAGCAUCCUGCCUCUCAUUGUAGACAAUUCCCAUUGAAGGUCAUGAAAAUGAGUUUGAAGCUCCCGCACGGUGUCUUGUAAAAUAGAAACAUCCCACACUAGAUUAGCCAUAUCUAGAACAUAAUGAAAUUGAUAGAAAAUGUUAAAAUAAAAGUAAAGAAAAGAAUCCGAAUGUAAUACAACGUACACUACCAAUUGGGUAUAUUUACACAAAAAAUAAGAAAAAAACUUAUCUGAGUCAGGAUAGAGAAAGUGGUUAAAGGUGUAAUAUGAAAGACAUUAUAAUACCUCGGGAAAUUUUUCGUUGAAAUUUUAUGCGUAAACGUGUUGGGUUCUGUCUUCUAGAAUGAAUAAUAAAUUUUUCGUGCGGAAUGUCUUACAUUAUGACCCACCAUUGUGUAGAGUAUCAAAUAAGAUUUCCAACAAUAUAUGGAUCAUCCAAAACGGACACCUGAUCGACGAAUUAUGAACAUUCUGAUCGAACCGCGAAUAGUAGUGAACAUUAAAAUGUGCAGGAAAAGGUAUUGAGGCAUGGCGUAUUUUUUCUCUAACUUUAAACAAUCAUAACUCCUUGUACAUAAUGAUCUGGGUGAUAUACUAUAUAUCAACGGAAAGCUUUGCGAGUCCUCUUUCCAAUGAAAUUGGUUUCAUCCAAUUUGUUUAUCGGAGAAAACAGUUAUGGUCGAUCUACUUCAGCCUAUCAAAUGCAAAUUUUUGGGUCAACUUAAAAAAAUCAUAACUCCUCGUACAGAAUGAUUUGGGUGUGAUAUAUAUAUAUAUAUAUAUAUAUAUAUCAACGGAAAUAUAUGAGAGUCCUCUUUAUAAUGAAAUUGGUUUCAUCCAAUUUGGAUAUCGGAGUAAAACGUUAUGGUUGAUCUACUUCAGACUAUCAAAACAGUCCACCAAAGGAUAGAUUCGAGAAUUUUUUAAUUUUUAGGGGCGUUUUGGUCAUCCCCCCUCACCCAAAAUCCGUCCAUACCUUAUAUUGAUGCGUNNNNNNNNNNNNNNNNNNNNNNNNNNNNNNNNNNNNNNNNNNNNNNNNNNNNNNNNNNNNNNNNNNNNNNNNNNNNNNNNNNNNNNNNNNNNNNNNNNNNNNNNNNNNNNNNNNNNNNNNNNNNNNNNNNNNNNNNNNNNNNNNNNNNNNNNNNNNNNNNNNNNNNNNNNNNNNNNNNNNNNNNNNNNNNNNNNNNNNNNNNNNNNNNNNNNNNNNNNNNNNNNNNNNNNNNNNNNNNNNNNNNNNNNNNNNNNNNNNNNNNNNNNNNNNNNNNNNNNNNNNNNNNNNNNNNNNNNNNNNNNNNNNNNNNNNNNNNNNNNNNNNNNNNNNNNNNNNNNNNNNNNNNNNNNNNNNNNNNNNNNNNNNNNNNNNNNNNNNNNNNNNNNNNNNNNNNNNNNNNNNNNNNNNNNNNNNNNNNNNNNNNNNNNNNNNNNNNNNNNNNNNNNNNNNNNNNNNNNNNNNNNNNNNNNNNNNNNNNNNNNNAUCCACAAGAUGGUUGAUUUUGAUAGAUGGGAAGCAUGAUGGCU